rnacentral:lncRNA from 1 species
UUAGAAUCAAUGGUUGAUUUUAGCACUUCCAAGCUUAGAACAAGAAACGUUCAAGCAAUCUCGACUGAGGUAUUGGAAAAAGGAACUGCCAUGUCCAUGCACAAGUAUACAACAAUGCCGGGACUGAAGAAGUUGGCAGGUGACAAAGUCGUUGUGUGUCAUAAGGAGAACUAUCCCUAUGCUGUGUUUUUCUGCCAUGCAAUAAAACAAACAGCAGCUUAUGUUCUCUCCCUGAAAGGCGAUGAUGGGGUGAAGGUUAAAGCAGUAACCAUCUGCCAUCUAGACACAUCAGAAUGGAACCCAAAGCAUUUGGCCUUCCAAAUCCUCAAAGUUAAGCCCGGAACCAUUCCCAUCUGCCAUUUCCUUUCCACAGAUGCUAUUGCAUGAACAUCACUUAGCACUGUACGUAUAAUAAGCUUGCACCCCUGUAUAAUUAUCUCCCUACUCUACUUAUUUCUGCCUCUUCUGUUGAGAUUUCAAUCAGAACUUGCACACACAAUGCAUCAGCUCACACAAAACCAGAUGAAUUUAAGAAAACAGAAAAAUGCAGAGAAAGAAUGGAUUGGCUACUCAGUAAUGCUCAAAGGUUCGUUGCUAUGCACAAAACAUGGCAGUGCACAAUACUCUCAUUUCUAACGGAACCAUUCCUUUUUACAAUGCUGAGAAUGUGAUCUCAGCCUUACAAUUGAUCCAGCAAUGUAAGCUGGACACUUGUCUUAAAUCUGAGUCAUAUAAGUUUCAUCCAACCAAAAUAUUACAUCUGUGAAAUAAAACUUAAACCAGCAGGAAUUUAUAAUUCGACAUUCCCUUCUAAAUUGUUGACUGGUUUAACACCAAGUAGACCUCUUAAGUAAUUGAAUCGAUCCUUAGACAAAGCUUUAGUGAAUAUGUCAGCUGCUUGCUCUUCGGACUUGCAGUAUCUUAGAUCCACCACACCUUCUUGCAAAGCAUCUCGAAUGAAAUGGUAUAUGCGGUUAAUGUGUUUGGUCUUUUGAUGGAAAACUGGAUUCCUUGUCAUUGCAAUGGCAGAGGUGUUAUCUACCAUUAAUGGAGUUGCCUCUGUUUGCUAUUCUCCAAAGUCUUCAAGCACAAACUUCAACCAUAUAGCUUGAGUAGUAGCUUCACUUACACUAACAUAUUCAACUUCAGUUGUGGAGAGAGCAACACUGGGUUGCUUGACAGAUGCCCAAGAUGACACGCCACUUCCAAAUGAGAAAGCAUAUCUAGAAGUGCUCUUCAUGUCAUCUUGACUCCCACUCCAGUCACUGUCACAGUAUCCAAUUAAUACAACUUCUUUUCCCUUCUGGUAUUCAAUACCAUAAUCAAUUGUGCCUUUGAUAUACCUCAACACCCUCUUAGUUGUUCCAUAGUGUUUCUUUUAGGACAAUGCAUGAAUCUAGCUAAUAAGCUAGCUGCAAACAUUAUGCCAGGCCUUGUAGCUGUUAAGUACAACAAACUUCCCACAAUCUGCCUAUAUUCAUUCUCAUCUGCUGGAUCACUUCCAUCUGCUUUGCAUAAUUUCUCACUUGCCACCAGAGGAGUGCUAACAGGUUUACAUUGUUUUAAGCCAAACUUGCUUAACAGAGUCAAAGCAUAUUUCUUUUGACUUAUGAAAAUACUCUUUUCAGUUUGAAUCACAGCCAUACCAAGAAAAUGAUACAAAAGACCUAAGUUAGUCAUUUCAUACCUUCUCAUCAUCUUAGACUAAAAAUCUGCAAUCAAUUCUUCACUGCUUCCUGUAUACACUAUAUCAUCAACAUAUAUCGAUACAAUGAGUGUUCUAGAGUUUUCCUUGGUCUUGCAAUACAGAGUUGCUUCACUAGAGCUCCUUGUAUAACCGCAGUCAAUAAGAUACGAGUUUAUUUCCUCAUCCCAUGCUCUUGGCGCCUGUUUUAGACCAUACAGAGCUUUCUUUAGUUUGUACACUUUGUCUUUAGAGUUCUUAAUCACAAAACCAUCUGGCUGGUCCACAUAUACUUCUUCCUUAAGCACACCAUUCAGAAAAGCAGACUUGACAUCCAAUUGAUACAACUUCCACCCCUUUUGAGCUGCCAAUGCAAUAAAAGUUCUAAUGGUGUCUAAUCGGACUCUGCACCCCUCUCGAUUGAAAACCUAUUGUGUAAAUCUUCAAUCCUAAACGAUGCACCUAAAACACAUGUUGCAAUACACAUCCACCCAUUCUCAGGCCAAUUAUUGCUCAUAGUGGGCUCCCGACCCCCUCUCAAAUUUAAGUGGUCCAUUAUUCUUAACCACAUAUUUUAUGGACCAUCCAGCUGUGAGGUUUUGUCUCAAAAACCUUCGGUACAUUUCUCCCACAUGCCACAAUUGUAUAUUCACAAUUACGUCUGAUACAUCACAUCAUGCCACUUGCCUCAAAUGAAUUUAAGUGAGUGAGGCAGUUGGAAGUAAUUAAGCUCUAUAUUGGUGGGUGGAGUGUUACUUCUGGGUACCCCUCAUCAUUUGUCUAUAAAAUGGUGAAGUCAGUUGCUACUGUUACCAUAAGAGCCAGCUCCGACUUUCUUUAAUUUCUUGCUUCAUAUCCACUAGCUACAUCUGUUGCCAAGUUAAUUUCAGUCCUAAUGGGGUUUCAUCCCCCACUCAUCUUUGCUAUUCUCAGUGUAAGCUCUGCAAUUUGAUUAACUUUUCCAUGCUCUCUCAUUGUACUCUAUAUAAACGAAAGUUUUGUGGUCCUAUAAUUCUCUCUCGAUUUUAUUUAGUACGUACUUAAGUGUUGUCCACUAAUUAAUUACACUUUGUGAGAUUUGAUUUUAAUUAGAGUUCGAAUUAAUGUUGCAGCUAGCAGCGGUUGCACAGGCAAACAAUGCUGCUCAACCAGCACCUCAACUUUACUGGAACUCCGUCCUGCCAAACACACAGAUGCCAAGAUCUAUCAGUGAACUUCUGCAUCCUGGUUUGUGUUGAGCUCUUUAGAAUCUUAGAUAUCUCUUCUACCUGCCAUUUUACUUAAAUAUGUUCGACCACAUAUUUAUCAGUUAACUACUGUCAUUACAUGAGUGACACAUAUUCACAAAUCGGCUGAUCACUUAUUUUCCAUUAUGACGUUGAUAUAUAAUUUGCAGACUCCACAAAUGAAGAAAAGAGCACAAAUGACGUUGGCAAACCUGAAACUUUCCCAUUGGGCAAUCAAAAUUACUCCAGUCAAAAAAAUUAUGGAACAGGCAAUAAACGUUACUGCAGUCAAAAAAGGUAUGGAAGAGGCAAGAAACGUUACUGCGAUCAAAAAAAGUAUGGAAGAGGUGCUUCUCCAUCUGACAAUCAACUACUCCAUUAUAAAGACUUAGCUAUUUUCUUCUUGGAGAAGGACAUGCGCCCUGGCACAACAAUGAAGUUCCAAUUCUCUAGAAAUUCAAACACGGCUACUUUCUUGCCACGAGAAAGCGCUCAAUCGAUCCCCUUCUCCUCUAACAAACUACCAGAAAUUUUCAACCAUUUUUCAGUGAAGCCAACAUCUGAGGAAGCCAAAACAAUUAAGCAAACAAUCGAAGAGUGUGAAGCUCCCGGCCUUAAGGGAGAGGAAAUAUAUUGCGCCACAUCUUUAGAAUCAAUGGUUGAUUUUAGCACUUCGAAGCUUGGAACAAGAAACGUUGAAGCAAUCUCGACGGAGGUAUUGGAAAAAGGAGCCACCAUGUCCAUGCACAACUAUACAACAAUGCCGGGACUGAAGAAGUUGGCCAGUGACAAAGUCGUUGUGUGUCAUAAGCAGAACUAUCCCUAUGCUGUGUUUUUCUGCCAUGCAAUAAAACAUACAGCAGCUUAUGUUCUCUUCCUGAAAGGCGAUGAUGGGGAGAAGGUUAAAGCAGUAACCAUCUGUCAUCUAGACACAUCAGAAUGGAACCCAGAGCAUAUGUCCUUCCAAAUCGUCAACGUUAAGCCCGGAACCAUUCCCAUCUGCCAUUUCAUUUCCACUGAUGCUAUUGCCUGGGUUCCGAACCACAAAUCUGCAUGAUCAUCACUUAGCACUGUACGUAUAAUUAUCUCCUUACUUAUUUCUGCCUCUUCAUCAUGUGGUGUAAGAUAUAUGAUGAGAUGAAGUUUUUGGGAUUAGUGGUUGGGUUGCCUGAAAAACACAGAUUACAGAAACUGCUUGAAAUUAACCCGAUCAUGUUUUCUCUUGUAACUAUAUAGACUUCAACUUGUACUCAUAAUAAAGCAUGCUAUAUUUAUGAAGAGAUAUUAAUCUAUAUAUAUUUUUUAUAUAUGCUUUGGCUUUGUGGUUCUACCCAAUGUUUGAGUGUUGAAUUGUUACGUUGGAAUAGGCUGCUAAUGCAUGUAGUUAGAGAAGCCUUCAUUUAUAUCAAAGUCCUCAAACUAUCAAGAACUAAUGUAUCCAGAAACAUAUACCAAGACGCAAAACAACAUAUUUUCCAUGCUCUGUCUGUAACACCAAAGCAAACUUCCUUGAUCACAAAAGGAUCAAAUUCCAGUACUAAUCUAAUCCAUCAUGUAAAGCAUACAAGUGCCUCCCUAAAUACUAUACUCUUUUUGUUAUUUCCUACUAUACUAUUUAAGAUUUAAAAUUCAGGUCAACCCAUAGAUUUCUCGCCUUUUUCUUCUUCAUCUCGUCGGGCUUGUCUUCUUCUUGAGGAUUGUAUAGGCCAAGGAAAUGCUUUGAGUUAGUUUUUGCGCUUUUGCGUUUUGGGCCUUGGAAGUUGGGACCCAAACCAACUUCACAAAAAGAAAACGCUCAGACUAUAAUGAGUGGAAAGUUAUAAGGGGUAAGUUAUAAGGAGUUCACUUUAUAGCCAUCAGAUCAAUCUAAGGGCUGGGGAGAAUUGAGAUAAAGUUUUAAAAUCGGGUAGGUGAGGAACCCAAACCCGAAUUGAAUAUCCAGCACGUCCGAAAAAGAAGAAGAAGAGGCAAGCACGUCCGAAAAAGAAGAAGAAGAGGCAAGGUCGAAGUUUGAACAGAAAAAACUCAUCUCUUUAAAACCCAUAGCUCUGAGAAACGGUUGAAGGCAACGGUUAACGACGGUUGUUGAAGCCACUCCGUUCUCCAGACCCUGAAAAAGUAUUUAUUUUGAGUAGAAGGGGCAAAUGUGUGGAUUCCGAAACAGUGAAGGGGCGAAGCAGUGGAAGGGGAAGGAGAGAAGCCGUAUUCGUUGGAAGUGGUAGGUUCCAUUUGUGGAGCAAAGCAACACAAAGACCCCGCACAGACACCUUGCGAUUGUUCAAUAACCAGCAUUUGGUGAGUAAUUUAUGGAAUUUGAGUUUAGGGUUAGAGUAAUGGUUUUCCCCAAUUUGUACCAUCAAUUUUGUUGGAUUUGGCAUCUCUUCUUUGUGCUUCAGUUGCAUGUUAAUUUUUGCUUGGGUAUAUGUUAAAAAAAGAAUGAAAAUCAAGUCAAUAACAAGUGAAUAACAUGUCAAUAAUGAUAUGAAUAAGAUAAUGGUGUUGAAUUGGAGGAGGCCCUCAAAACAUUCCACAUUUGAAGCAGUGCAUAGUGCAGAUUAUCUCUCUGGCGCUAGAAUAUAUAUAUAUUUUGAAAUAAAUAUGAUUUCCUUUGUUACUAAAUUUGCCUGAGAAACAUGAGAACAGAUAAUAAUAAACUCAUGAAUAGAAGUGCAAAGCAUUUGAUGAGUAAUUUAUGGAAUUUGAGUUUAGGCCCAGGAAAUUCCUUGACCCCAAAAAAAAAAAAAAAGUUGAUUUAAAAUUCAGGUCAACCCAUAGAUUUCUCGCCUUUUUCUUCUUCAUCUCGUCGGGCUUGUCUUCUUCUUGAGGAUUGUAUAGGCCCAGGAAAUGCUUUGAGUUAAUUUUUGCAUUUUUGCGUUUUGGGCCUUGGAAGUUGGGACCCAACCCAACUUCACAAAAAGAAAACAGAUUUGCCAAAAAUCAAAUUUCAAGUCUCUCCUCCGAUCGAAAUUUGGAUUUGAUGAACUAAAGUGGUUUUACUUUCUCCAUCAGUGUUUGAUAACUUAAUUUGUUAUUUACUUUUUUUUUAAAAAACUUUGGCUUAUAUAUAUUAGUUUUCUUUUUUCCUUCAUAUUCACCACCUUUAUGUUGCAUAAGUAUUUCAGUCUUAAUGGGUUUCCAUCUACCACUCAUCUUUGCUCUUCUCAGUGUAAGCCUUUUUUUUUUUUUAAAGCACAAGAUUAGAGGGGAGGGGGAUUUCUCAAUGUAAGCUUUGCAGUUUCAUAAUUAAUAUUUCCAAUAUCUCACUGUUAGUAAAAUACAGAAAAAGUACUAAUAACAUAUGCACAUGUUACUAAUUUAUUGAGAUAAAACACCAUUUUGCCCCUAGAAUAUUUUAUUAGGUUUAAAGUUGACUUUUUGACCAGGAAGGAAUUUGGGUAUUUAGACUAUAUCGUUGCGUAGAGCAUGGCGAGAUGAGUCCGUAGACACAUGAUUGGCUCGAAUCAGAGUUAUAAUGAGAGAGAUACGAUCAAAAUACCCUCAGUGGUAUAACCGUAAUUUUGGCUUAAAGGGUUUGAUAAAAUAUAAUUUUUCUUUCUUUCUUUCUCUCUCUCUCUCUCUCUCUCUCUCUCUCCUCUCUCUCACGACGGCAGUGAUAGCCGGCCACUUUUUGGCCAGCCAUGCUCUCGUCCGGCCACUAAAGUUGACGGGGCCGGUACCAAAAUGACCGGGCCACCAUCCUUUUCCAACCCCAGCCAGGCCCCACUGCCAGCAGUCGUGAUUUUGCUGAAAAAUGGAGAAGAAGCGGCCGAUUUCGUUCGAACUUCUCCGACUUCGUUCUCUCUCCUCCGGCCACCGAUUUCGAUGAAUGAGGUAUGGUUUCUCACCUACUUUUUAUGCUCUAGCUGCCUGUUGGGUAGGAUUCGAUCAAUUCCUUGCGUAGGUAGCUUGAUUUUCGAAUUGGAUUUCGGCCGGUUUUGGGAUCUCGAUUCCGGCCACUUCCGGUCAGUUUUUGGGGUACAUCCCAAAACAAAAGUGGUUCUAAAUAGGGUGUUAUACCUAGGGUAGGAACCUUGAACCGUAAUUUUGAGAAUUUUCGGUGAUGCCUAAUCGCUUUGGACACCUACGCUAUGCCUGCGUGUGGGCACUAUAGAAAAAGGGCAUUGUGUCCCGAUGCAAUCCCCUUGUUGUCUUGAGCGCGUAGGUGUGCUCGGAUUUCAAUUUGGAUACCGUUUGAAUCUCGAACGAAUAUCGCAUAUUGUGCGUUAUUCGGGGUCGAUAGGUUUGAACUGUUGGAUAGUCUUAGAUUUAUAAUAUGUUAAUCUAGACAUUCUUAGGAUCGAAUGGGAUUAAACGGAUCGUAAAACGGAGUCCCGGAUACUCCAAAAAUGCCAACCCUAGGGCUAGGUUCCUAGUAACCGUCCGAUCGUGCGAUCGUGAGCGAUCCGACCGUUUGAUCCGAACCAAACUUGCAGGACGUGUAUCCUAAACCUUGUAGAACCCAUAGGAACUUUCGGAUUAGAAUUUGGAGGUCGUGGGCCCCUUGGGCCGUUUGACUAAGUUUGGGUAGUUUGACCCUUGGCUGAUCGUGAGUCUUCAGAGGUCUUGAGCGUUGUUGAGCUAUGUUGACUAGGUUUAGACUUUUAGAGUGUUUAUUAUUAUCAUAGGAAACUAUUAGAUAUUAUUUUAAUAAUUGAAAUUAUCAAAUUUAUGUUUAUGUGCAUGAUUGUUGGUCUAAAAAUAACAUUGUUUUCUUGAUAAAAUUACGUUGCAGUCUACUAUAGACUGGUAUCACUAAAUGGAGAUUACCUCUAUUAUUAGUUUAGAUAAUUAAGAGUAUGUCAGUUUGAAGUGCUAUAUGCACUACCCUAAGUACCACCCUGUGAUUGUUAGGUCCCAUGUGGUGUAGAUUAUACAGCGUCAGGACAGACCCCAUACGUGGCUUUGGAUGUUCUGGCGCAUGGGGGAGAUUAUGUAAUGGUUAGGUCAUACGUGGCGUAGGUUAUUCAGCGUGUUGACAGACCCUAUACGUGGCGUUGGAUGUUCCAGUAUGGAAAGAUUUUGUGAUUGUUAGGUCCCACGUGGCGUAGAUUAUCCGGCGUGAGGACAAACCCCAUUCGUGGCUUUGGAUGUUCCUGCGUAUGGGGGAGAUUAUGUGAUGGUUAGGUCACACGUGGCGUAGGUUAUUCGGCGUGUUGGCUAACCCCAUAAGUGCCGUUGGAUGUAACGACCGGUCCUAAAUAAAUUAGUGAAUAUUAAUUUAUUCAGAGAAAAUACCAUUUUGCCCAUAGAGUAUUUUAUUAGGUUCAAAGUUGACUUUUUGAUCAGAAAGGAAUUUGAGAAUUUCGAUUAUACCGUUGCAUAGAGCACGGCGAGAUGAGUCCGUAGACACGUGGUAUGCUCGAAUCGAAGUUGUAACGAGAGAGAUACGAUCAAAAUACCCUCAGUGGCAUAACCGUAAUUUUGGCAAAAAGGGUCGAUAAAAUCAUAUAUAUAUAUUUUCUCUCUCUCUCUCUCUCUCUCUCUCUCUCUCUCUGCGAUAUUGUCCCUCUCUCUCUUUGAUUCACUGCCAUCUGCCCACGGCAGGACUUGAGACUGGUCACGUUUGAACCGGCUCGAUGUCCCGAUCACGUCGCACCCAAAAUGCAAAUGGAAACCUUGAAUUCCAGCCACGGCUUCGACUGGUUUGAACUGGGUUUUUCCCGGCGUUGCGCCACCGCCUCCGCCGCCCAAUUCCGGUGAAACAGGUAUAAUUCCUCACCUAUUUUUCGAGAUCCAGCUGUUGUUGUGUAGGAAUUAGACGAUUUUCAUGUUUAGGAACUCGAUUUAGAAUUUAGGUUUUGGUCGAAUUUUCAAAGUGAAAUUUCGGCCACUUCCGCUGGUUUUUCGGGGUAUGUCUAAGAACAAAAGUGGUUCCAAAUAGGGUGUUAUACCUAGGGUAGGAACCUUGAGCUGUGAUUUUGAGAAUUUCCGGCGAUGCGUAUUCGCUUUGGACACCCACGCGCCGACAGCGCGUGGGCACUGUAGAAAAGGGGCAUUGUGUCUCAAUGCGAUCUGCUUGUUGUCUUGAGCUCGUAGGUAUGCUCGAAUUUCAAUUUGGAUACUGUUUGAGUCUCGAACGGAUAUCGCAUAGUGUACGUUAUCCGGGUUUGAUAGGUUUGAACCAUUGGAUAGUUUUGAAUUUGAUAUAUGUUAAUCUAGGCAUUUCUAGGAUCAUGUAGGAAUUCAGGGAUCAUGAAUCAGAGCCCCGGAUGUUCCGAUUUAAUAACUUAAAGUUUAUGUUUAUAAUAACUAUCAGAUCGUGCGAUCGUGAGCGAUCCGACUGUCUGAUCUGGACCAAACUUGCAGCACGUAUAUCCUAAACCUUGUGGAACAUAAAAAAAUUUCGGAUUAGAAUUUGGAGGUCGUGGGCCCCGUGGGCCCAUUUAACCAAUUAUGGGUAGUUUGAUCCUUGGUUGACCGUGAGUCUUCCGAGAUAGUUUUACCUUCCUAGGAGGAUUAUAAUGACCCUAGUGAUAGGUCUUGACCGUUGUUCAGCUAUGUUGACUAGGUUGAGACUUCUAGAGUGUUUAUUAUAUUAUUGUAGGAAACUCUUAGAUAUUAUUUUAAUAAUUGAAAUUAUGAAAUUUAUGUUUAUGUGCAUGAUCGUUGGUCUAAAAAUAAUAUUAUUUUCCUGAUAAAAUUACGUUGCAGUCUACUAUAGACUAGUAUCACUAAAGUGGGAAUACCUCUAUUAUUAGUUGAGAUAAUUGGGAGUAUGUCAGUUUGAAAUGUUAUACCCUAAGUACUACUCUAUGAUUGUCAGGUCACCCGUGGCGUAGGAUUUUCCGGUGAGAUGACAGACCCCAUACGUGGCGUUGGAAUUUCCAACGUAUGGAGAGAUUAUAUGAUUGUUAGGUUUCACGUGGCGUAGGAUUUUUCAGCGGGAUGACAAACCCCAUACGUGGCAUUGGAAGUUUCAGCGUAUGGGGAGAUGAUAUGAUUGUUAAGUCACACGUGGCGUAGGUUAUUUGGAGUGCUGACAGACCCCAUACGUGGCGUUGAAAUUUCUGGCGUAUGGAGAGAUGAUAUGAUUGUUAGGUCACUUUGGAUGUUCUAGCGUAUUGGGAGAUUAUGUGAUUACCAGUGAGAUGAAUAAAGGAUUGUUAUGUUAUAUUGGGAAAAACAUGUUUGUAGAAAGAAUUACGUGUGGCUUGAUCCCUCAGUAAGGGUACGUAGGCAGCCUAGGGUAGUGCCUUGGUGCAGUCGCUGACUAAACAUUAUAAUGUUGUUUUUAGGUUUGAUUAUAUGGUAUUAUGGGGCAAGGCCCCUAGGACUAUUGGUGAUAAUUCAUAGAUGGUAGUGGAUGCAUGCUAGAAAUUUGUAGGAAGUUAUUUCAUGUGGAUUGCAGUGGUACUCGUAAAAUUUAUUUGAGUUCCUUAAUUGCAUUGUUAAUAUAUUAAUUUACUUAAGAGUACUGCUAGUAGUUCUGCCUUGAUUUAUUUGAAGGCUGGAGGCCUUGUCUGGAAACUGUGUGCAAUUAGAUUGUGUGUGCUGGCAGUUGACUUUUUAAAUUGUGAAUUUUGUGCAGGUUGAAAUUUGGGAAAUGUUCAAUUUACAGGGGAGACUCUGCUGAAAUUUCGGUAGAAAGUCUUGUGCCCUUAUUCCUUUUUGGGGAAAAGGAUAUAGUUUUAGAAGUGGCGAUGUCGGGAAUUUCCACAGGAUUCGUCUCGGGUUUCGGGAAAUUCGGGGCGGGUCUGAAAAAGUUGUUUCAGUUUUGGCAAGUAUCGGAAAAGACCAAAAUUUUCCGACUUUAUUAUUACUAGAAACAAGGUCGAAGUAUUUACCAAUCAUGUGGCCUUCCAAGUGCUCUAGGUUAAGCCAGGAACCGUUCCUAUCUGCCGUUUCCUUCCCAACUAUGAUCAUGUUGUCUGGGUUCCAACCCACAAAUCUACAUUGGGCUACGUAUUUGAAUUUGUACUAAAGCGUGAUCUAUAGUAUGCAUAUAUUGGAUAAGUUUGAGAUCAGUGGCUUGGGUGUCCGCUGAGCUUGAACAAGUUUGGGUGUGCUGAGUGUUUCCAUGGGUGUGUUGAUGAUCAUGGUUAUUAGAUUUGUGAUAGUUUGGGCUCAAUUUCAACAGAACUCAUCUCAAGCCUAGAUAGUUGAUUCUUAAGUUUAUCAGGAAAAAAAAUUAAAAAUUAAAAAAUCUAAAGUUAAGCCCAAGGCGCCGAACUUGGACUUCUCACCAAACUGUGCAUAAAUUGAAAUAUUUAAUAGAAGCCCAAGAUUUUUGAAGCACAUAAUAUCUACAAAAAUCUACAAAGUGUAAUACUUUACAAACUUCUUAUGUGUACCAAUUUCUGCUCAAAUUAAUUUCUCUGUGGUGCUGAGAUUCAUCAUAAUUUUAGUAGAAAUUGGAAGUUUUCAUCAUUUUUGCUUUAAGUCUCUCCUCCACUCACUAAUAAAGAUUACUCAAGUGAGUUUACAAAACAUUUUUUUUCUACUCUCUCCUGAAGACUACACAUCUUCUCAAAAGAUUAGAUCACUUCACAUCUUGUAUAUGUGAAAACUAAUGCAAAAAGUUGAAACUUUAUCAUAAAACCUCGACAAAAAUUAGCUCUACUUAGAACAUUAAAUUUGGAUUCGUUGAUUUAAAUGGCAAUUUGACACUUCAUAGAAAUUUUUACAUACAUGUGUUAGUGUUUGAUCACUUCACUUAUUACUUACUAUAUUUAUUCCAUGAUUCUCCCUCAAGUUAUGUAAAUAUUAUUAUCAAACAUUUCAAUUCAUUUGUGAUAUUUCUUGUCCAUCUUUCAAUGUACCCUGAAAUCCAUUAGCCACAUAUGAUGACCAAAAUCCACACUCUGUUGUUUGCAAACGUUCAAUAUACGACUUGCAUCCACAGUCCUGACCCAAAUGAAAUGCGGAAACUGUCAAGCUAACUGUAGGGAGGACUAUAUUUGAUUUUACCUUAAAGACUGAUCCGAAACCACCUUCUCCAAGUUUAUUGUUGUUUGAAUAGUUUUUGGUUGCACAAACAACAGCGGCCAAGUCAAAUAAUGGCAAUUCCAGAUCUUCCUUUUGGCCGGGCUUCAGUUCUCCUGUGAAGUACGUAGUGAAGUAAAUAAUGUAGCAUGGAACCUUAGCUUAGAAACCAGAGAGGCAACAGCAAAAAUUUUCUAUAGAACUGAACCUACCUAUCUUAGAAAAUGAAGGGGCAGAAGAGUAGAAAAUCAAAUAGCUUACCAUAUUUUUGUUGCUGGUUCUUCCUCACAUAUAAUAGCAGGGUAAGGCCCAGGGUCAGCAGUCCAGUAGACAACACAGUACUGGUUACUAUGAUCUUUGUAUUGUGUCCUUGAUCUAGGAAUGAAGUAUUUGAAAGCAGAAGAUUGAGGAGUCAGAAAUUCAUAAAGAAAAAAUCUCUACUUUUUAUCAUCCAACGAACAAUUAAUGCUAGUUUCUGAGACAGUUCUAAAGAAAUAUUUUUCUAACAAUGUCAAAAGUUUUCUGGCUCUAUCUUGUUUCUAAUCAUGUCACUGUUGGAAGAUUUCUUUCUUCUUUUUUCCUUGGUGGCUUUUAUUUUUCUUUCAAACUUUGUUUUAAACAGCAAGAUGAUUCCAUACCUAGUUCUGACGAAGCCAUUCUUAUGUAAAUAUCUUGCCCAUUUAUAUUGGAAUAUCUUAUAUCAACCAGAUCGCUGAACCACAGCAAGGACCCCCUUCCUCCAUCUCGGAUAUCCAAAUUUGAAAAAGCGGCGCAGGAGCAGUUGUUCAUGCACAUCAUCUCACAUUCCUUGAGGUUCAUAAUUGUGUUAUACUAGGAUUGUUCUGUACUUUAUUUCACCCCAGUGUACUUCUUAAAGAUGUCUCCACUGCAAUUCAGUUGGCUCUUUCUCACAGAUCUAUAUGACCAAUCCACCAAGUCCCAGUCUUGUUGAAAGUCGGUAUAAAUCCUUUCAAGCAGCUACGUACUGGGGACUUGUCAAUACAACAUGCACCAUUCGGACCACAUAUUCCAUAUUUGUCGCAGAUAUCAGUCGUUGCUCUUAGAUAAACAACCCAACCUUGGUUUCCAUCACUCCCGAUGUAGCUCAGCCCAAAUCCAUCUUGAGUUAACGCCAGCCUGAAAAGAGUUGAGCUGUUGAGAAGCUUAUAACCAUAAUAUACUUCAUCAUCAUUAUCCAACACAAAAUCAUAUGUUGGAUUUAAAUUAUGCAUCCCACUAAAUUGGAUUCCAUUCCAUGGUGCAGUCCGAUAUUUUAUAACAGAACCCUCCCUCAGAAUUAAUUCAUGGUACCCAUAAGGACCAAGUUGAUAUGGGUAAUGUCCUUGAGAAGGAUCCUGGGGGCUUUUCCAGGGUGUAAGAUGCCAAUUAAAACCUGUGAUUUUGUUCCUAACAAGCUUCAUACCUGGUAUUAAUGUAUCUCCUGGGUAAUCAAAACUCUGCCAUAAAAUAUUAUCAGAGUCAUUACGACCAUUGCCAUCUAUCACAACAAGAUUUCCGGAAUCCAAAAUCUGUGCCACUGGAUUCUAUGAAGAACUUGAUGUGUUGGAAGACCUGUAGUGUUCUUUGUUGAAUAUUUGGAUUGCAAAGGGAGCAAGAAAUGUACUGAGAGAGAAAGAGAGAGAGAGAGAGAGAGAGAGAGAGAGAGAGAGAGCAGUGAGCCUUAGAUUGUUCUAACAGUUUUCUUACUCUGCAUGAACAUAGCAGCAGAGCUUAUAUUCCUUCAUGACUGUUACAUGUUCUCUCUUACAUCAGUAGAUUCAAAUCUAACGGUUUGUAAUAGUAAGCCAAUGUGAGUAUGACACAUGGCAAUACACAGCUGUCCUAACAGCUGGGAAUUCAAAACAGACUCUAGCAUUGCACCUGGCAUAUAAGCACAAGGCACUCAGCUAACACAAAGAUUAAAAACAGAUUGAAUAUAAACUGACAUAGAACUUACUAACUAAUCUGAAAUUAGCUAGACAGUUUACAUUUUAACACUCCCUUCUAAAGUGCUAGCUGAUUUCACUCCAAGCAUUCUCCUCAAAUAGUCAAACCUGUCUUUGGGAAGAGCUUUGGUGAAGAUAUCAGCAAUCUGCUCUUCUCCUUUGCAGUAGAGCAGUUCAAUCACUUCUUCUUGUAUUGCAUCUCUAAUAAAAUGAAACUUCCUUUUAAUAUGCUUGCUCCGUUGAUGAAAAACAGGAUUUUUAGCCAUUGCUAUGGCUGAAGUGUUGUCACAAAACACAGUUGUUGCAGUGGUCUGUUCUUCCCCAAAAUCUUCAAGAACAAACCUGAGCCAAAUGGCUUGUGAUGUAGCUUCUGCUGCACUCACAUACUCUGCCUCUGCAGUAGAGAGAGCCACACUGUGUUGUUUGACUGAUGCCCAUGAAAAAGCACCACUUCCAAAUGAAAAUGCAUAUCCAGAAGUGCUUUUCAUAUCUUCCUCAGAUCCACUCCAGUCACUGUCACAGUAACCAACUAAGAGUGCAGAUUUUCCUGUCACAUACUCAAUUCCAUAGUCAAUUGUGCCUUGUAUGUACCUUAGAACCCUUUUAGCUGCCCCAUAGUGCAUCUUAGAAGGGUUAUGCAUGAAUCUUGCAAGCAGGCAGGCAGAGAACAUGAUAUCUGGCCUGGUUGCAGUAAGGUACAGCAGGCUGCCUACAAUUUUUCUGAACAAACUUUCAUCUGCAGCAUCACUUCCAUCCUCUCUUUUCAAUUUAUCAGUAGCCACUAAUGGAGUGCUUACUGACUUGCAGUCUUUGAGUCCAAACUUAUCCAAGAGAGUGAGAGCAUACUUCUUUUGAUGAAUGAAGAUGCUCCCUUCAGUUUGUGUUACUCCCAUACCAAGAAAAUGGUGGAGUAAACCCAAAUCAGACAUCUCAUACUUGCACAUCAUUUCAGCUUUGAAUUCUUUCAUCAUUUCAUCUCUACUUCCUGUGUACACUACGUCAUCUACAUAGAUUGACACUAUUAGUGUUCCCACCUUCCUUUGUUCUCACAUAGAGAGUGGCUUCACUUGGACUUCUGUGAAAACCACACUGAUUCGAGUAGGUGUCAAUUUCACUAUACCAGGCCCUUGGAGCCUGCUUCAACCCAUAGAGGGCUUUUCUUAACCUAUACACCUUAUCCUCAUCAUCUUUAACCACAAAACCAUCCGGUUGAUCAAUAUAAACUUCUUCUUCAAGGACACCAUUUAGGAAGGCUGACUUGACAUCCAAUUGCCAUAGUUUCCAGCCUUUCUGAGCAGCAAGAGCUAUGAGAGUUCUAAUGGUGUCUAACCUUGCUACAGGAGCAAAGGUUUCAUUGAAAUCAAUCCCUGGUUUUUGUGUGUAUCCCUUGGCAACAAGUCUUGCUUUAUGUUUUUGAAUGGAGCCAUCAAGAUUAAGCUUAAUUUUGAAUAUCCACUUCACUCCCACAAUUGGUUUACUACUUGGCCUGUCAACCAAUUCCCAACUGGAGUUUUUCUCUAUCAUAAGUAUCUCCUCAGUCAUAGCCUUCCCCCAAGCUUCAUCUUUGACUGCUUCUUCAAAAUUUUCAGGUUCAAUGAUGCUCAUCUUGCAUUGAGCAUACACUUCACUCAAACUCUUCCAUUUCUUUGGGGUGUUAUCAUAAGUUUCUAAUGGAGCAGAGUCUUGAGUAGCAUGCACAUCAUUACUUGUUUGUGUUUCCAUAGGAGACUGUACAAUCUGUUGCUGUAACAGAUUUGGUUAUGAAUCCAAAUCUGAUACAAUUGAACUUACUCCAUCACCCCAAGACAUAGGGAUUUGCAAUGCCUCAUUGGUUUCCCAAUUCCACAUUGCUUCUUCAUCAAAAAUAACACUCCUAGACAGCUCAAUCUUUUGAGUUCUCAAGUUGAGCACUCUAUACCCCUUUUCACAUACACCAUAUCUUACAAAUACUCCCUUCUCACCUGUGUCUUCCAGCUUGUGCCUUUUCUGUGUGGGGAUGUGAAUAUAGCAUAGAGAACCAAAUAUUCUCAAAUGCUUGACACCUGGUUUUCUUCCACCGAACUUUUCAAAUGGAGUGGAAUUGUCCAGUGCACUUGUAGGACAUCUGUUCUGCAAAUAUACAGCUGUAUUGACAGCUUCUGCCCAAAACUUCAAAGGGAUUUUCUUCUCAUACAUCAUGGCUCUUGCCAUUUCCAUCACAGUACGAUUCUUUCUCUCUGUAACUCCAUUCUGUUGUGGAGAGUAGCCUACUGNNNNNNNNNNNNNNNNNNNNNNNNNNNNNNNNNNNNNNNNNNNNNNNNNNNNNNNNNNNNNNNNNNNNNNNNNNNNNNNNNNNNNNNNNNNNNNNNNNNNNNNNNNNNNNNNNNNNNNNNNNNNNNNNNNNNNNNNNNNNNNNNNNNNNNNNNNNNNNNNNNNNNNNNNNNNNNNNNNNNNNNNNNNGGUGUGGUCAUCAAUGAAGGUGAGGAAAUAUCUGUUCCCUCCAAGAGUGAUGGUCUGCAUUGGACCACAAAUGUCUGAGUGAAUCAGUUCUAGAGGUUGAGUGGCUCUCCAAGCUCCUUCCUUAUCAAAAGAGCUUCUGUGAUUCUUGCUUUCAGCACAACCUGAGCAGACCUUCUCAUGUUCUUGUAAAUUAGGCAUUCCCUGAACCAUAUCUCUCUCUUGUAACAACUUCAAACUAAUAUAGUUUAGGUGCCCAAAUCUUCUGUGCCACAGCCAGGAUGUUUCUCCAACUGUUGCUCUGUUUGCCAUAGGAGGAUUAACAUAGUCAAGAUUUAAAGGAAAACAUUUGUUUCCCUUCAUUGGCACUCUUGCAAUGCAAUCUUCCAACUGCCUAUCUCCAUAGAUAUCAACUGCAUUAUCACCAAAUACAAGCCAAUGCCCAUGUUCUAUCAUUUGACCUACACUUAGCAAAUUUUCAUCUAAACUUGGUACAAUCAUGAUUUCUUUGAUAUAUCUAGUCACACCCUUCAUUUCUAUAGCCAAAGUCCCUUUGCCUAUUAACUGCACUAGAUCACCAGUCCCCAUUUUGACUUUACUCUUCAUACUUUUAUCAACAUUUACAAGUAAUGACUCAUGGGAAGUCAUGUGAUUGCUGCAUGCACUAUCAACAUACCACAUAUUCACAUUCUUUCCAAUUGUUGCAGCAUGACAUGCAUAGAACAUAAUGGCAGGUUCAGUUACCUGAUUUGCAAUGUUAGCAAGUUUCCCUGCCUUGUUUGCUUGGUCACAGUCCUUAACAAAAUGACCAAAUCGAUUGCAGCCAUGACACUUUGGUUUUCCUUUAAACCAACACUCACCAUAGUGUAACUUCUCACAAUGUUUGCAUUUUCCAGAUUUGUCUCCUUGACUUGGUUUUCCCCCUUGAUUGGCACUGUUUUGGGGUUUAGAAUCCCAUUUCUUAUCCUUGGACUUCCAAUUCUUCUUUGAUUUAUUAGAGCCAGAACUAGAACUUGAUUGAGAUCCUUUUGAGUUUAUGCUCAUGCUGCUGAAAGCUUUCUCAGUGGUGCUUUCUGCAUGUCUGUCAAGGCGCUGAGCAAAACCUCUUAAUGCUGCAAUUACCUCCUGCACUUCAAUGGUUUCAAUGUCUCUAGUUUGCUCAAUCACAUAGCAGACUGGAUCAAAUUCCUUGGUUAAGCUUAUUAGCAGUUUUUGAACUAUCCUCCCUUUGGUCAGAUCUUCCCCAUAUCCCUUCAUCUGAUUUACAAGCUCAAGUAACCGAGUGAUGUAUCCAGACAAGAUCUCAUCAUCCUUCAUCCUGGUGUACUCAAAAUCUCGACGCAGACCCUGCAACAUGAUGGAUCUGACUUGCUUAUCACCAUGAAACUCCUGAUGCAAGAUAUCCCAAACACCUUUUGAGGUUUCUUCAUUUGAGAUUCUGGGAAAGAUGUCAUCUGAAACAGCACCUUGGAUAAUACCAAGAGCCUUAGCAUCUUUCAUCAACAAGGACACCAUCUCUGAAUCUGAUGACCCUUCUUUAUCAGCUUUUGAAUCUGGAACUUGAAGGCCUUUCUCAACCAAAUUCCAGAUUCCAUGAGAUUUGAAAAUUGUUCUCAUUCGAAUCUUCCAAAACUCAUAGUUCUCCCCAUUGAAUAUUGGAGCUCUAAGAUCACUCCCUCCUGACCCAGCCAUCUGAGACCAGACUCAAUGAGUUGAGAGUAGGAAAUUUCCCGUUGGAUUUCCAGACUCAGCUCCCACAGCUUCAACGCCCUCUAUCCAGAUCCAACCUGCGCACCUGAUACCAUGUUGAAUAUUUGGAUUGCAAAGGGAGCAAGAAAUGUACUGAGAGAGAGAGAGAGAGAGAGAGAGAGAGAGAGAGAGCAGUGAGCCUUAGAUUGUUCUAACAGUUUUCUUACUCUGCAUGAACAUAGCAGCAGAGCUUAUAUUCCUUCAUGACUGUUACAUGUUCUCUCUUACAUCAGUAGAUUCAAAUCUAACGGUUUGUAAUAGUAAGCCAAUGUGAGUAUGACACAUGGCAAUACACAGCUGUCCUAACAGCUGGGAAUUCAAAACAGACUCUAGCAUUGCACCUGGCAUAUAAGCACAAGGCACUCAGCUAACACAAAGAUUAAAAACAGAUUGAAUAUAAACUGACAUAGAACUUACUAACUAAUCUGAAAUUAGCUAGACAGUUCACAUUUUAACAUUCUUAUGGUCGGCAGGGACAAGAAUUCCAGGGCUGCUCAACUUGAAUACACCUGAUGAACCAGUGAGGGGUGUGUUUCUUUUAGUCUGCACUAUAUAUGCAGGGUCUGACUCUAAUUAGAAGAUAAUUGUAUUAAUUUGGUAAAGCUUUGUCUGUAACUGUCUCGCACCUUAAAAAAAUUUCACAAUUAGCAGCAUUGGCAAUACUUGAUUAGAAAGCAGAAACCCUACAGUAUAUAGUUAAGUUGAGUAGCUGGGAAGACAAUUAGUAAGCUUUCAAUACUAAAGUUGAAUAUUGGGGAGACAAAUUACUAGAGCUUCAAGUUCAGAUAAAUAGGAUGAAUUUCUCUUAAGGGAUCCCCUUUCACUGUAGCUUGGAGUAGAAUUCAUUUUGACACAAUAUCAAUUAUCAAUGUAAACACGUUACUGAUGCACUAUUGACAAUAUCGAUGCACGUCAUAUCAUAUUUGUGGGAGUAAAUUUCCUCACGAGAAUAUUUGGUUCAAAAGAUUCCCCUUUUUUUUUUUUUUGCCGCCUCUUUCUCCUUGCAAAAUAGAACAAAUAAGAGGACCACACCCGGGGGGUGUUGGCCAAAGGCCCUCCGAUGCUAAAUUAGUUCAAGUAUUUGUAAGAAAAAUACUAGCUAACUAGGGUACAGAGGUGUAUUUAAGGUGUAAACCGGGCAGCCGAAGUCUUAUGUAAAAGAGAGAGAGAAAGGAGGUGGCUAGCGUUUGAGAGGAAUUUUCUGCAGAGUUUUUAGUAGAGAUUUCAGACGUACCUCAACCAUUGUGUGUGGCCAUCUUUUUAUAGUGGUCUUGGAGGCUAGGGUUUCAGAGGAAUAAUUCCGUAGAUGGAAAGGAAUUAUUCCUCCCCUAUUUGGAAUUGAUUUGAUUAAUUAGGGAUUUGAUUUAUUAGGGUAAAUCAAAUCCCUAAUUGUGGUAGGUAUCAAAUCAAAUCCUUUUUUAAUUAGGUAACUCCUCAUUUAAUUGGGAAUUGUGGUAGGAAUCAAAUCAAUUCUCAACCUAAUUAGGUAACGUUCAAUUUAAUUGGGUAAUUCCCAAUUAAAUUGAGUAACUCCCAAUUAGGUUGAUUAAUUCCCAAUUAGAUCAAAUAAUCCCCUAAUUGAAGGAAUUAUUUGACCUAGGGUCUGAUUUAAUUCGAUUCCCACAAAUGCCCCCCAGCUUCUGCAUGGUGCAUGGUGGCACGUAGGAGAUGUAAAUUAUCUGUUGGGCUGUCCAGCUGUAACUGGGCUUCCUUCGUGGACCUGGGCUCCCGAGUAGAGGAGGUGUUUGACUUGCCAAUUUUAUGAACACCCAAUUGGAAAGGGUUUGAGAUUCCUUGUAGGUCAAGGAAUUUUGCUCCUUAUAAAUGUAGGGCUCCUCCAAAUUAUUCUCGACAUCAGAAAUCUACUCCUCCAAAUUUGUUAGUGAGAGAGAGAAGACUUUGGAGAAUUUUUCAGCGUGCUUGAGACUUCAUCUUUGCAGCCCAUCCAAGGUAAUUUGAUAGGAAGAAUUUUAUUUUGAGUUGCUAUGACUUUUGGCAGCAAGCUGUGAGACUAAGGGCAUGUCUUGAGGUGCGCGCUAGGGCUUUAGGCAUGGCAAGAGACUCGGAAAGGCUAGCAGGUUCGUUUCCACCUACGCUGGGCUCAAGGAGAAGGCAACAGGGCUUCAGGCCUUGUGGAUGAAGUGGGCUUUCGCUGGGAGCAAGAGGCCUGGAGCUGAGGCAAGGAGACAAUGGGCCUGGUACGAGGUGUGGGCUGAGCAUGCCAGCUUUGGAGCAAGGGGGCCAGGACGACUGCUGGGCAGGAGGUGCGCUGGGCUGCAUGCGCGAGCUGCGCCGAGUGCUGGCUGGAGGAGCGAGCUGGGCUGCGCGCUAGGCCAUUCAUGCUGGGCUACUUCCGUUUUUUUUUUGUUUUUUUUUAAAUUUUAUUUGCUGUUGCUGCUUUUUUUUUUGUUUUUUUGUUUUUUUUUUGUUUGGUAUUCUAACUCGUAAUUUUUUUUUUCUUCUUACAGCUACUUGUUGAUCAACCAUGUCUUCCGGAGAUGGUAGCAAGGCUCCAAGCUCUUAGGUCCUUUUGUAUUUAUGGGGAGGCUCCAUAGUGCAUGGCAAGAAGUUUGUGGUCAACUUGCAUCGCGUCACGACUUAUGCUCAGUUCCAGAAGUGGCGGGCCACUUAUGCGUCUGCCAUUCCAGAUGACGUGCUGGUCAAGCUAUUGAAAUCUCAAACUGAUAACGAGCCUUUGGUGGACGUGAGUGAUCAUGAUGCUAGGAUCAUUACCUUCCGUCCUUUUUACUUCUCUUUAGGCUUCAAAUUCCCGUUGUCAAAGCUCUUCAAGAAGGUGUUCUGUGCCAUGGGGUGUGCUCCGAGCCACUGUACUCAUGUGCUUCAAGAAUUUGAGUCGUUUCUUCAUGUUGGAGCUGACGAUGCGAGAGUUCUUUUAUUUUUUUCGAAGUGAGGCACUUUGAGCGGUACGCCCAAGUUCGUAUCUACAAGGCCAAGCUGUUCCACGGUCUCAGUCAAGGAGAUCACGCUUGACAUGAAGAUGUGUUGGAGGUCAGCAGACGGUGGGAGGGUGACGUCGGUGACGGCCCACCUGUUCCCAUCACCUAUUGUGAUGGUAUGUCUCUUUACGAUUUUUGAUAUGCUCCUUUUAUUUGAAUUUCUUGAAGUGUGGCAGACUAACUUCUAUCUUCUGCUCGUAGUGAGUGACAUUAGCAAGCAAUUGGAGCUCCGACCAGACAUGGCUAAGGUCCGUCGUGCUUUGAACAUCCCUCUAAGGUUUCACGAGUGGCGCUGGCUGUUGAGUGAGUACCGGGAGGAAGACGGUGGUUUUCUCCUUGCCGAGGAUGUCGAAAGGUGGAAGCAGAACGAUCCUGACCCUGAUGAUCUGCUUGGCAGACAGGAAGAAUGUUCUGCUUAAUCGCUCUUAAAGAGAAAGGCUGCUGCCAAAUCUUUGAGAUGUGAAGCUACUUCUUCGCAUGCAAAGGAUGGGUCUCCAUCGAGGAAGAAACCAAGGCUCCCUUCUGCUGAGAAGACUCAAGUGGGGUCUGCUCCCUCAUCAUCUGCCAGGGUUAAGCAUCUCGUGGGUGCAGAUAGCAAGAAGGUUGGUGGUAUGCAUGGUACUCGGGGUGUUCUGCCCAAGCUUCCUGCUGACACGCUCGAAAACCAUGAUAUACUUCGUGAAGUGGCUCGUGCCCAACCUAGUUCUGCCAAGCGUCAAAGAGAUGUAGACAUUCCUCCUAGAAGUUCGAGUUGUCUGCAUCGGUCAAAAGAUGGAGACCGAAGCGGGAGGUCUGCUUAUGAUCCAGCAUUAUUGACUCAUUUGGAGAUGAGGUUGGCGAAGGCUAAGAAGGUGAAAGAGUCAUCUGCCCGGGUUAAGGGUUCUUCCUCGGCGUUGGUAGUUGGUCCCAAGAUGAACAAGUCUAGCUCUGUAGGGGAUGCAUGCGUAUCUGAUCUGCUCAAGAUGAACUUCCUAUCAAACCCGUCCUCUUGUGUUGAGUUGGUUGAUCACAUCCCUCAAGCGGGCGAUCUAGGCACUUUCUCGUGCCUUUCCUUAGAAAAAUGAAGGAAAAUGACAUUCCAUCUGAUUCAAAAAGGACUGGUUUUUGCUACUGAGACUAUUUGGAACUCAUCUGCUAUUGCCCCUCUUCUGUCCAACUCAGCGAGUUGGAGAAGAAGAAUGCUGAUUGGCUAGACAGCUUUCCGCCGAGCAGGCCCGUUACGAGAAGAAGAUGUCUGAUUUGAGGGCGAUGAUAUCUGAGCUGAAAAGCUCCCUUACCGAGAAGGAUUUCGAGCUCAACUCUUCUGCUGCUGAUUUGGCUAGUCGAAAAGAUACCUUCUUUCGUCUUGAGCAUAAGAAUGCUGACAUCUUCCUUAGCUAUAACAAACUCCUGGCUAGAUUUCAUGCCUACCAUAAGUCUGCUAAAGAAUCCAAGACAGAUGGAGCUGCUGAAGGCGUAGCCGGUCAGGUGGAUGCCGAAGAGGCUGCAGCUUAAAAGUCUUCUGCUGGCGUCUCAGAGUAGAUGAAGACUCUUUUUUGUUUCUUUUCAGCUUUUGUAGUUUGCUUUAUUGUUUAGAAUAACUGGUCUUAUUUGACCAUCUUCUUUUUGUUGAACUUGGCUGGUUGGUCUGUUUGUUAGGGAAAUUUCAGUUACAUUUUCCAACUUCAAUUUGCAUAUUUGACUUGUGAACUGCUUAAGUAACCAGCCUGUGUUUUGAUUGCACAUCCCCCUUUAGAGAUUUGUGAGUACCAGGGUCCCCCUUGGAGGACUCCGGCCAUGCACAGUAUAUCUCGUAGGAUGGUUCCCCUUAGGAAGUUGGCGAGUACCAGGGUCCUCUUUGAGAGACUCCGGGUGUGUUCUGCACAUCCCGUAUGAUGCCUUAAUCGUCGCCUUGCUUCUCCCGUAGGACGCUGCUUAUAGGCAACUAUAUGACUAUCCUGCCUUUCUUAGGAAACGGAUAGGAACCUGGAUAUUUCCCGCAUGAAGCAUGGAGACCUCCUUUUAAGAAAUUUUUGGUGCACCAUGCUUCUCCCUUAGGACGCUUUUUUCGCAGGCUGGGUCUCCAAAUGGACGCUUUUAGUCGUUGCCCUGCGUCUCCCUUAGGACGCUCCUUAUGGGCAACUGUGUGACUAUCCUGCCUCCCUUAGGAAAUGGAUAAGACUUGAAUAUUUCCCGCAGUAAGCAUGGCGACCCCCUUUUAAGAAACUCCUGGCGUACCCUGCAUCUCCCUUAGGAUGCUUUUUAAGAGGGCUGCUUCUCCAAACGGACGCUUUUAGUCGUUGCCUAUGUCUCCCCUAGGAUGCUCCUUAUGGGCAACUGUGUGACUAUCCUGCCUCCCUUAGGAAACAGAUAGGAAACUAGAUAUCUCCCUUAGGAAAUUCCUAGCGCACCUUGCGUCUCCCGAAGGACGCUUUUUUAGCUGGCUACGUCCCGAAACGGACACUUUUAGUCGUCGCCCUGCGUCUCCCUUAGAAUGCGCCUUAUAGGCAACUGUGUGACUAUCCUGCCUCCCUUAGGAAACGGAUAGGAACCUGGAUAUCUCUCUUAGGAAAUUCCUGGGGCACCUUGCGUCUCCCGAAGGACGCUGCUUAUGGGAAAAUAUUGUGUUUCGUGGGCAGAUGAGACAUUUUGGAAUGAGAAACUGAACUUAUAUUGAUAUUCAUAAGAUUACAGUCCUUUAUUUGAAAAUGGAAAUAACUUGGUUCAAAAACUUAGAACUUCUAGCAGCUACGAGGAAGCACUAUGGAUAAUACUUUCGGAGAUGGUGAGCAUUCCAUUGUCGUGGUAUUUCCUUCCUAUCCAUGGUGUCCAGUGUGUUGCUUCCUCUGCCCCGGACCUGCUGAUCACAUAAACGCCCUCCCAGUUAGGAUUCACUUUUUUUGACCCGUGUCUUGGUGCAGUAAUGAAAGCCUUAGCACGAGGUCGCCUGGUUGAAACUGUUUGACCUUAGCUCUUUUGUCGUAGUAAGACUUCAACUGCUAGUGAUAGGAGGCGACCCGAAUAAUGGUCUUCUCACGCCUGCCCUCAAGUAAGUUGAGGUUGAGCCUCAUCUGCUCGGAGUUCUGAUCAACACUGCCUACCUUAAGACUUAUAGAGAGGACAGUGAUGUGAGGUGGUAUGAUCACUUCUGUUCCAUAGGCGAGAGAGAAUGGGGUUUCACCAGUCGAUCUUCGCUUGGUGGUGUGAUAAACCCAUGGUACUCUGGGGAGUUCAUCCACUCAUUUCCCUUCAGCGCCUUCCAGCCUUUUCUUUAAGCAGUCCAAUAUGACUUUGUUGGAUGCCUUGGCUUGUCCAUUUCCUUGUGGAUACCUCGGGGUGGACAAGUGUUGUUUGAUCUUGUAUUUCACAAAAAAAGCGGUGAUCUGCUUGCCAAUGAACUGUGAGCCAUUGUCGGUAACCAACGACUGUGGGCAGCCAAACCGGCAUAUGAUGUUUCUCCAGAUGAAUCACUCCACAUCGGCUUCUUUAGUAAAUGAUAGAGCUUCGGCCUCGAUUCAUUUAGUAAAGUAGUCGGUGGGGACGAUCAUCAUUUCUUUCUUGGCGGGCGCUAGUGGCAAGGGAUCCACUAGGUCGAUGGCCCAUUGCAUGAACAGCCAUGGACUGUUUUGCGGAUGAUAGACUUCGGCAGGCAAGUUAGGGAUCGGCUUGUAUUGCUGACAGCGUCACAUUUCUUGGCACAUUCAGCACAGUCGUGACGUAUGGUAGGCCAGAAGUAGCCUAUGUUUAGAACUUUCUGGGCGAGUGACCUGCCCCAGAAUGGUUGCCAUACUCGUCGUCGUGAAUUUUACAGAUAAUCUCAAGUGUUUGAUGGUACUUUAUGCAGGUGAGAUGAAGGCCGGAGUAUGAUCUGUGGAUGAGCUUGUUGCCGUGCAUGUAGUAUCUCUCGGCCUUUUGCUGGACUUUUCUAGCUUCGGACUUGUCCGUUGGCAGGUUUCCAUUCGUGAAAUAGUCGAUGAUGAGGUCUUGCUAGCUGGGGUCCUCGUCAAUCUGCAUGGUAUUAAUCGGCUCUAUUUCUUCAAUGCUUGGUCGGUCAAGGUGUUCGACCUAGAUGGAGUGUUUGAACUGGGUAUCCAGCGUUGAACCUUGGCUUGCCAGUGCGUCUGCAUGCGCGUUCUUUGCCCGGGACACUUGUUGGAUAGUGAAGGUAGGAAAUGCCUUCAACAGCUCUUGGACUCUAUCAAGGUAUAAGAUCAUCCUUGGGUGCUUUGCCAUAUAUUCACCUGAGGCUUGAUUCGUGAUCAACUGUGAGUUUGAGUAGAUGGCUAGCUUUUUGAUUGCGAGCUCCUUUGCCAAGCGUAAGUCGGCGAGUAAUGCCUCGUAUUCUACCUCGUUGUUCGAGACCGAGAAGCCAAGCGUAAUAGCUUGCUCUAACAGGGUUCUAUCCAGGGUGGUGAUAACGACCCCUGCUCCAGCUCCUUUUUGGUUCGACGCUCCGUCUACACGCAACUGCCACAUGUCUCUGGGAUGGCUUGGUUCUGCGGAGGUCCUGUCUGCUUUUGAACUUCCCUCCUUUUGGUUGACUAACUUCUCUUUUUUGGCUGAUGGGGUGAAUUCUGCGACGAAGUAUGCUAAAGCCUGGGCUUUUAUUGCAGUUUUUGGCCCGUAGAGGAGGUCAUAUUGGCUUAGCUCUAUAGCCCACUUCAUGAGUCGCUGAGAAGCAUCAGGGCUGUGGAGGAUUGAUCUCAAAAGAAAGUCAGUCAUGACUAUGACUCGAUGAGCUUAGUAGUAGGGUCGCAGCUUUCUCGCAGAAACUACAAGAGCCAAAAUAAGUUUCUCCAAUUUCGGGUAACGAGUCUCUGCAUCGAGGAGAGCUUUUGACGUGUAGAAUACCGGAUAUUGGGCCCCUAUCUCUUCUCGGAUGAGAGCUGAACUGACAGCUGAGUUGGACUUACCUCACUAGGGACUGGAUUUGAGAGCAUGGAAGGUGAGGUGAGGUAAGUCUUCAGAUUAUGGAAAGCUACUUUGCAGUCCUCAUCCCAUUUCUCUCUUUGUCCUUUCUUCAAAGCUUUGAAGAGUGGUCUGCACUUGUCGGUUGAUCUCGAGAGGAAUCGGUUGAGAACCGCUGCUUUGUCCGUCAGACUUUAUAUCUCUUUCACCGUGGAAGGCGACUUCAUCUCUAGAAUGGCUUUGAUUUGACGUGGAUGUGCCUCGACACCUCGUUGCGUGGCUAGGUAUCCCAAGAAUCGGCCGGAGGAUACACCAAACAGGCAUUUACUUGGAUUCAACUUCAUGCGAUACUGGCGGAGCAAGCUGAAUGAUUGGGUAAGACUUCCGAUGUGAUCUGCACGUUUUGGGGCUUUGACCAGCAUGUCAUCCACGUAGACCUUCAUAGUUUUGCCGAUCUGCUUAUUGAAGAUUUUAUUCCCGAGCCUUUGAUAGGUUGCUUUGGCGUUCUUCAGCCCAAAGGGCAUGACCUUAUAGCAGCAGGUCCCUCUCUCGAUGAUGAAAAAAGUUUUUGCCUUGUCAUCCUCGUGCAUCAGGAUUUGUUUAUAGCUGGACUAGGCGUCCAUGAAGCUAAGCAGUUGAUUGCCAGAAGUGGAAUCCACGAGUUGGUCGAUUCUCGGCAAUGAGAAGUUGUCUUUAGGGCAUGCUUUGUUGAGGUCUGUGUAAUCGACACAAACUCUCCAUUUGCCAUUUUCUUGUUUUGCCACCAAAACAACGUUGGCAAGCCACUCUGAGUAGGAGGCCUCUUCGAUGAAGCCGACAGCUAGGAGUUUGUCAAUCUCGGCCUCGAUGAUAGCAAGUCGCUGGGGUGCGAAGUUGCGUCUCUUCUGCGCCACUGGCUUGCAGGCAGGGUUGAAGUGGAGUCAGUGACAGAUGAUGUUCUUGUCGAUGCCAGACUUGUCUGACGGCAACCAUGCGAACAUGUCUCUGUUGCUCUGGAGGAAGGUGGUAAGCUCCACAUUCUCUUCUGGCCUUAGGCGCGAACCGAUCCACUCUUUCCUAUCUGGUUGGUCAGGAUCCAAGGGUAUUAACUCGACGUCCUCCUUGGGUUUCCAUCCUUCUUCAGGAAAGACCUAUGGACGGAUUUCCUCGACUUGGUCCUGACGCUUUAAUUGCUAUAAGAUAGCAAGAUCCAGUUGCUCAACCUCCUCCAGAUCUGCCUGGCUCACAGGGAGAAACUGCGCUUGUUUACCUUUCUUUAGCCCUUGGGCGGAGCAUUUCCUCGCCAUUGCCUAAUCGUUGUUGAUUUGGCCGACACCGCCCCCAAGGAUUGGGUACCGAAUUUUCUAAUGUGUGGCGGAGGUGAUUGCAUUAAUUUUGCCAAUCGAUGGUCUGCCCAGAAUGCCGUUGUAGGGUAAGACCUUAUUAAUGACCAUGAAGGUUAUGAGCUGAUUAUAAGUGGGGAGUAGACGUCGAGGUCUAUCAUGCCCACGGUAACCGUUGUUGCACCAUUAAAAUCGCUCAGCAACCUAGCUAAUUUGUAAAUCUUUGUCUCCAAUCCCAUCUGUUGAAUGACCUCCAGUUGCAGGAUAUUGGCUGCGCUGCCCUCGUCUGUGUGGAUUCAGUCUACCAUGACCUGAGCAAUUUGAAUGCUGAUGACAAGGGCUUCGUUAUGUGGCAUGUAGAGGCCGAUCAGAUCUUUCUUUUGGAAGCCGAUUACAGGAUCGUCUUCUGCUGGUGGAAGGUCGGUCGAGAUUUGGGAGAUCACAGUGGUCUGUUUGAUCUUCCUCUUUUUUUCCUUUCUGGUCAGCCCAGACUCCUCGGAGUCAGCUAGGAUUGUGUUAAUUCUUAUGACCUUCUGAGGCGGCUCCUUGGCGAUGUCACGAUCUUCUAUCCGCUGGAUGACCUUCUUUGCAAUGAAUUCUGUGCAGUGACCUUCUCUCACGAGUUCUUCAAGAUGUGCUUUCCAAGCGAAGCAGUUGUUCAUAGUGUGUCCGUGCAUUUCAUGGACGGCACAGUAUUUGCUAGUAUUCCUUUUGUCCGGAUCUUCUUUCAAGGGUGGUGGUCUUCUUACCCAAGGUUGUUCUUCACUUGGGCUAAGAUUUGAUGUAUGGAGAUGGUGAACUUGGUGUAGUUCUCUCCUGCCGUAGCAUCCCCUUAUGGGUGCGACCUGCGCUUGUCCUUGUCCCUGUUGCUAAAUCCGUCGCUUCUUUGGCCUGCCCCCUUAGUCGGCUGAUCUUCCUGCUUAGUAGAGUUCUUUGCGGCGAUUCGAUCGUCAUCCCAAAGCGCAUAGCUUUCCGCGGUCUCGUAGACCUCUGCCAAAGUUUGGCUGGGAGUGAUGGUCAGCUCGUGGUACAAGUCGUGCUCAGUCGAAAGGUCUUUCUUGAAAGCAGAGGACGCAAUUUGGUCAUCACAUCCUACAAUGUUGGCCUUUUCUACUUUGAAUCUCUUGAUGUAAUCUCUAAAGGAUUCGUCGAACUUCUUGCGCAGGUUAUACAGGUGGUCAGGGUUCUUCUUGAUUGUUCGGUAAGAGGUGUAUUCUUUGGUGAAUAAGUAAGUCAGCUCCUUGAAGCUGCUGAUCGACCUGGAUGGCAGAGUAUGGAACGAGUCUUGGGCUUCCUCACAAGGUCAUUGCAAACACCUUGCACAUCAGCGCGUCGUCAACCUUGUGGAGGAUCAUGACACUUUUGAAGUGUUUUAGAUGGCUCUCAGGAUCGGAAUCCCCCUUGAAGUGUGUGAAUGUGGGCGUUGAGAAUCGCUUCAGGAGAGCAGCCUGCUCGAUUUUGGCAGUGAAAGGUGUAGAGUAUGCCUGGUCUACCUCAUUUCGUACAUCUUCGAAAUUUCCACCGGUCUUCAAGUCUCGAAGUUGGUCAUUCACAAGCUUCUCUACGUCUUCCGCACACAUUGCUUGUCGGCCACAUUGGCGACCUUCACGAAUUGUUCGAUGCUGACUGACUUCCUCGUUGAUUUCCGAGGAUCGACCUUCUUGUCUGCAUUGCCUAGGUGGAGUGUUGGUGGAUUGCGCCUACGAAAGAUUCUCUGUGGCUUGUCAAUGAGAAUCGGUUCUUCGAGAGUGAGUAACGAAGUGCCUUUCCUCAUGGUCCUUAUUGUGAGGGUUAUCCAGCUGACCUCCCUGGGGCCUAGCCUUUCCUGAAUGCUUCUCUGCGAGUAGACAGUUGAAUGCUUUUCUUCACGAUCCUCGUUGUGAUGGUUGUUUGGCUGACCUCCUUAGGGUCUUAGCCUUUGAUGUACAUUUCCCUGCCUGCCCAAGUAGGUGCGGACGUCGAGUCGUGGGCCCAGCCUUUCGUGCACGUCGUUCCUUAAACUCAAUCUGCUCUGAGUGUGGCUUGCAGAUGCUUGCGACAUGUCGGCAGGUCGAUCACGUUGUUGUCCCUCGACUUGUCUGCCCACUCUUGCUUGACCUGCUUGGUACUCGUUGAGCUGUCUACCGGCCCGUUCAUCCUUCCUUCUUUCCUCGCCUGGUUGUCCAAGGCCAAGGUUUUGAGCAAAGCUUAUUUGGUUGAGGAGCUGCCUCAUUAGAUUGUUUUGGUCGUCCAUUCUUUAAGCUAGCUGGUCAACUCUCAGAUUAAGGUCUGCUUGAUUUCAUGGAUCAGGAGGAGAGAAGUGUGUGGAGCUCAACUGCACAUAGGCUAGGGUUUCAUUAGAGGUGUAUGCGGGAGCGUGUGUCGAGCGUGGAGGCAAUAGAGGGAAUGCUUGGAGUUGCUCCAAGACCGGCCCUAGGUCGGCGGUGGUAACGAGUCCACCUUGAUGGGAAGUUCCACCAUGUUUGGCGGCAGUGACCGAUGCAGUGGUGAGAGGUGGUGGUGCCACCAUGUCGAUCGCGGGAUCGUUGGUGGAGUGGCUUUGGGCCGUCGCAAAUCUAGCCAUCAUGGCGGCUUUGCCUCUCGUGUUCAUGCUUCCAACCAUGGUUGUUUGGAAGGCUUAGGUGGAUUGGAAAAUUAGAGGAACGGAUUCCUUGAGCACGCAUUGAGUAUAACUCGUGCUCUCAAUGAAAGCACCAAUUUGUGGGAGCAAAUUUCCCCACGAGAAUAUUCGGUUCGAAAGAUUCCCCUUUCUUAUUCGCCGCCUCUUUCUCCUCGCAAAAUAGAACAAAUAAGAGGACCACACCCGAGGGGUGUUGGCCAAAGGCCCUCCGAUGCCUAAAUUAGUUCAAGUAUUUGUAAGAAAAACACUAGCUAACUAGGGUAUGGAGAUGUGUUUAAGGUGUAAACCGGGCGGCCGGAACCUUAUGUAAAAGAGAGAGAGAAAUGAGGUGGCUAGGGUUUGAGAGGAAUUUUCUGCAGAGUUUUUAGUAGAGAUUUCAGACGUACCUCAACCAUUGUGUGUGGCCAUCUUUUUAUAGUGGUCUUGGAGGCUAGAGUUUCAGAGAAAUAAUUUCGUAGAUGGAAAGGAAUUAUUCCUCCCCUAUUUAGAAUUGAUUUGAUUAAUUACGGAUUUGAUUUAUUAGGGUAAAUCAAAUCCCUAAUUGUGGUAAGUAUCAAAUCAAAUCCUUUUUUAAUUAGGUAACUGCUCAUUUAAUUGACAAUUGUGGUAGGAAUCAAAUCAAUUCUCAACCUAAUUGGUAACGUUCAAUUUAAUUGGGUAAUUCCCAAUUAAAUUGAGUAACUCCCAAUUAGGUUGAUUAAUUCACACUUAGAUCAAAUAAUCCCCAAAUGGAAAGAAUUAUUUGACCUAAGGUAUGAUUUAAUUCGAUUCCCACAAUAUUUAGAUGCAUAAUUGAAUGCGAAUAAACAUCACUCUCUCCAGUGUGAAAUGGCGAAAAUUCUCUUCAAUCAAAAGUGGGCUUACUUCAAAUUUAGUUGAAGAAUGAUGGUGUGUCUUGCCUGACAAUUGACAAUUAGGUUUAGGAGCGUUCCUCUAGUAGAAAAAUCUAAAUCAUUUGUGGUCAUCCACUCACUUGGUUAGUCUUCCAGAAUCAAAUACCAAAUCAACCCAAAGGAAGCUGCAAUUUUCUGAAUUGUAUACUUGUUUUAAUUCUUCCUAUCUUUUUCUCUCUUUCAUUUUUUUUGUCUCCCUCAAGUUAAUACUUAAGUGAGUUGCCAAAUGGGGGUAAAAAAGAGAGUAGAAGAGAUGAACCCCACAUUUGACUUUAAUAGACAAAUGCCCAAGAGAAGUACCAGUAAGAGCAUCUCCAAUUGGGAGGUGCUAUCCUAUAAUUUGACACACAUUUCUUUUUUCUUUUUUUUCAAUUCUAACAACAUGUCAUCUAUAUCGCAAUAGGCCGUUGUAGUUAAAUUUUCAAAUAACCAAGUUGCUCUCUAUUUUCCAAAGAAGACUAGAAAACAACUUACCAUCUAUCUGGUGCUGCUUCUUCCAAACAUUAGAAAAAACAGAGCUACACCCAGGAGGAGCCCAGGAGAUGACACAAUACUGCCUACUAUGAUUCUUACUUUCUUCACAUUCAAUGAGACUAUAAAAUAUAACCCAAGUGGUCUAACCCCCCAGGGCGGAAAUUGGGUUUAGCAAGUUUAGCACUGAUUGUUGUAUAGUCUUAAACAGUCCUGAUCUCUUGGACCCCUGUAGUCCAAGAGAUUUAUGGUCACCCACCGUUGGAUGUAAAUUCAACGGUUGACUUGAAUCGGGUAAUAAUAAUUUAUGUCAUAUUGCAUUUAUAUAUAUCAUUUUGAACCAUUGGAUUAAUAUCCAACGGUGGGUGACCACAAUCUCUUGGACUCCUGUGGUCCAAGAGAUCGGGACUGUAGUCUUAAAAUAAGUAGUUUAGCGAGUGCAAACUUCGACUUAAAAAAACUCUCAUGUAUAGCCGCGCGGCUAUACUAUUUACAUAUAAAUAUAUAAAAAAGCACCCCCUAGUCACGUGUCACAAAUAGUAUAGUCGAAAACAGUAGAGCCGCGCGGCUAUACUGUUUUUAAAAUAAAAAAAACCAUAUUCGAUUCUCCUUAUAUUUAAAAGGGGUAUAGCCGCAUGGCGAUACUAAUUUUUUUUUUUCAAAAAAAGGGACCCCAGUACUCCUUUUAUAUAUUAUAAUAUAUUGUCUAAUAUUUGGAAUAUUUACUCUAAAAUAAACAAUAUAUUAGGUUCUUUUUGUCUACAAAUUGACCAUUAAACUUCUUAAUCACUCUUAUACUUUCAAUUAAAUCUACUAGGCUAGGUUAUGAUAUUUUCACUAAAAAACUCCUCCUUUUUUUCUUCUCUUUCUCUUCCUGUUUUGUUUAACUUAAGCUUAAGUUUUGUAAUUUUUUUUCCCGCCCUUUUUACAUGUUUGAGUAGGGUACUUUAAUAUUGGGAUUUAUGAACUUUUUUUGUAUUUCUUCUUUAUAUUGGAAUAUAAAUUAUUAACUUUUGAGUCUUUAAUAGUGUAGAUGAUGAGAUUAUUAUUCAACCAUUUUAUAAUAUGAAAUGAAGGACAAUCAUGAUUGUGAUGAAUGGAUUAUUAAUCAAUAUGAAAUGAUAUUAUGAAGUGGGCUAAAUCGAGUAGUUAGUAUCGUAUUGUUGAGACCCAAAAAAUCCAAGGCUAGGCCCAAAUAUAUUAUGAAGUGGGCUAAAUCGAGUAGUUAGUAUCGUAUUGUUGAGACCCAAAAAAUUCAAGGCUAGGCCCAAAUAUAUUUCCGGUCCAAUGCGAUACCUUACCGAGAAGAAACCUUAUUUGGGCACGCGAAAGUUCGUCAUAUGCUCUUGCACACAUGCCAUGCCAAGCAAAUAAGCAACAUGCCACGCUACAAGCUUAAGUGGGCCCAAGCCACGUGAAUGCCUAGGGCCUGCUGAGUGGGUUGUGGUAUGGAUGGUUAUGAGUAUUCACGAGGCCCAUUGAUGGUCUAAGGAGUGGAAGUUUUGGGCUACUUGGGAGCACCAAAACUCAAGCCCAUUCAUUGAGCCCAAACAUAUGGGUAAGCAUGAGAUAAAACCUAGUAGCCCAUCACCUUAAGAAAUCCUAAUAGCCCAUAACAUGUGAGAAAAUCCCACAUCAACCAAAGCUUCCAGCAGUCUGACGAAAUCAAAGGGAACUCACAAGCCGUUGGAAACAAAACAACCCAACACUGUAACACCCCGACCCCAAAUUUCCCCAAAUUUAACCCUUAUUUAAUUAUUUAAGGGUAUUUUAGUCAUAUUUUUAACCGGAGAGAGUUUGGGGCAAUGACUAGUAUUUUUGGAUAGGUCGUACUGAGACGAGUUUAUGGACACGCAGUGAGCUCGAAUCGGAGUUGUAACGAGAGAGAUAUGGUCAAAAGAAGCCCAGUGGCACAAUCGUAAAUAUUUUGAAAUGAGAUUUUUUAUAAAAAUCUGGUUUUCUCUCUCUCUCUCUCUCUCUCUCUCUCUCUCUCUCUCUCUCUCUCUCUCUCGCUAGCGACCUCUCUCUCUCUCCCCCGUCGGUCUCUCCCCUCUUUCUCCUCGUAACUCCGGCCACCGGCCCCGGCUGUGGACGGGGCCGGUACCAAAAUGACCGAGGCGUCGUCCUCUUCCUACCCCAGCCACCUCCCACCGCCAGCCGUCGCGGAUUCGCCGGAAUCUGGAGAUGAAGCGGCCUACGUCGUCCAAAUUUCAAAGCUGCCGAUCUCCCUCCUCCGGCCACCAAUUCCGUCGACCCAGGUAUGGAUUUUGAACUUCUCGAGCUGCUCUAGCUGAUGGUUGGGUAGGAUUAGAUCGAUUCUUAGCUUAGACAACUCGAUUUUCAAAUUGAAAAUCGGCCGAACUUCGGCUGCCGUGAUCGGCCAUUUCCGGCCACUUUUUGGGGUAGGUCCAAGAACAAAAGUGGCUCCAAAUAGGGUGUUAUACCUAGGGUAGGAGUUUGGAGCCGUGGUUUUGAGAUUUUCCGGCGAAGCGUUAUCGCUUUGGGCACCCACGCGCUGCCGGUGCGUGCGGCGGCGCGUGGGCACUGUAGAAAAAGUAGCACUGUGUUCCGAUGAGAUCCUUAGGUUGUCACGAGUGCGUAGGAUUUUGCGGAUCUCAAUUCGGACGUCGUUUGACUAUCGAACGGAUAUUCGCAUAUUGCGCGUUAUUCGGGUUCGAUAGGUUGGGACCGUUGGAUGGACCCAAAUUUAAUAUAUGUUAAUCUAAUUAAUUCUAGGAUCGUGUAGGAAUUCACGGAUUGUGAAUCGGAGCCCCGGAUGUUCCGAAUAAUAAUUUUAAAGUUUGUAUUUUAUAUUAAUUGUCAGAUCGUGCGAUCGUGAGCAAUCUGACCGUUCGAUCUGAACCAAACUUGCAGGACAAGUGUCCUAUACCUUGUAGAACCCAUAGGGACCUUCGGAUCGGAAAUUGGAGGUCGUGGGUUCCGCAAGUCGGUUUGACCAGGGUUAGAGAAGUUUGACCCUUGGUUGACCGUGAGUCUCCCGGAGUAAUCUCACCUUUCUAGGGGAGAUUAUCGGGUACUAGAUGAUUGUGGACACAAUAUUAGAAUUAAUUUAUAUAAUUAUAAUUAUAUAUGGUUGUACAAGGGUACAACAGAGUCUAGAAUGUCAGUUUGGAGUGCUAUACGCACUACUUUAGGUACCUCCCCGGAUGUUGGGAUUUACUACAAGUACCACCAAGUGAAAUUGAGGUCCCGCGUGGCGUAGGUUAUCCAGCGUUGGGAUAGGUCUCAUACGUGGGGUUGGUUGUACCGGCGUAUGGGGAGAUUUGUGAUAUUAUGUUCAGGUCUCACGUGGCGUAGGUUAUCCGGCGUUGAGACAGGCCCCAUACGUGGUGUUGGUUGUACCAGCGUAUGGGGAGCUAUGUGAUAUUGUGUUGAGGUCGCACGUGGCGUAGGUUAUCGGGCGUGUCGACAGACCCCAUACGUGGCGUUGGUUGUACCGGCGUAUGGGGAGAUUUGUGAUAUGAAAUUGAGGUCCCACGUGGCGUAGGUUAUCCGGCGUUGGGACAGGCCCCAUACGUGGCGUUGGUUGUACCGGCGUAUGGGGAAAUAUGUGAUAUGAUGGCAUGGUCGCACGUGGCAUAGGUUAUUCGGCUUGUUGACAGGCCCCAUACGUGGCGUUGGUUGUACCGGCGUAUGGGGAGAUUAUUUGAAAUGCAGAGAAACGAAAUAUGGUAUCGCCCAAAUGUGGAAUUGGGUUUUAGGGAAGAACUACGUGUGGCUUGAUCCCUCAAGGAGGGUACGUAGGCAGCCUAAGGUUAAUAGGUGCAGCCGCAGACUAAAUGUUAGUCAUAAUUGAUAUUUGAAUUGUUUGGUAGUUGGUUAAGAAUUAUUGGAAGGCCGAAGGCCAUUUGUGUGAAUUGCAUGAAAUUAUAUUGUGCAUGCUGCCAGUUGGGAAUAUUAAAUGCGUUUUUAUGCAGGUAUAAAUUUUAGGAAAUGUCCAAUUUAUAGGGGAGACUCUGCCGAAUUUUCGGCAGGAAGUCUCAGUUUUUAGUAUCUGGGCCUGGCAUCGGGAGGAUGUCGGGAAUUCCAAAGGGUCGUCUCGAGUUCUGAAAAAUUCGGUGCGGGUCCUUUCAAACACCUUAUAAAAUAUCCAACGCCGUGCAUCUCUGUUAAAACCAGAUCACAGCCAAACCACCAAAACCAUGCAAACCCAUAUGCUGAUCACCAUUUUUACUAGCACCCUUACCCAUUCUUUCCUCUUCAAGCUUUGGUGAGAAAACAAGAAACAAAAGUGGGCGGAUCUUCACCCACAUGGAGAAAUCCAGCUGCCUGAGGGCCCUGGAACUCCAAAAAACUUCUUACCUACAUGCUCAGGCUAGGGAAGUUUCACCAAAUAAGCAAGAAUGGAAGAAAGUGAAGGAAAAGGGGAAAGGGUGGCUUGACGAAAUUAAGGUUUUCAGCACUUAUAAAAGGAAACACUUUCUAUCCAGCAAAAACAACUCACCCUGGUUGCUGCAAGCCUCCUAGCAACCAUGAGAAUUCAUUGAAGGCAAGCAUCCCCUUUGGAACCCUUCAAUUUCAUGCUUUGUUCUUCCAUCUUCCUCCUUUCUCUCUCUCUCAAAACCCACAUCCAGAGAGAGCAAGCAUCAUCUCUCAUCUUUGGAACCCUUCGAUUUGAAGCCUUGUUCUUCCAUUGCUUCCCAUUUUCUCUUCUGUCAAAUCACCUAGGAGCUUGACGAAACUUUCGUCAAGCUGCUGGAAAUAUGGUAAAGCCACCCAUGCUUCCAUCUUCUUCCUCUCUUUCCAUAAACACACAUCCAAAGAGCAAGCUUCAUCUCUCAUCCUCUAAACCUCUGCAAUUUCAAGCCUCAUUCCUCUAUCUUCUCCCAUUUUCAGCGGUAGUGAGAAUGAUUUCUGCGUGUGCAUGGGAAGGAUUGUAACUCAGAUGAGGAGGAGAUGGUUUGGAGUGGGGUGAGGCAGUUGGAUAGAGCUCUUGGCCUUUUCAAGUUUGGAUGGGAAAGAGCAGGGAUGAAAGAAGCUUUACAACUGCAAGGGCAUAUAUGGUGCGUAGGGGCUGAAGGCAGAACACUUACAUAUAGAGGAAACACAUUUUUUGUCCAUGGGAUUCAUGUUUGACAAACACUUGUCUUAGACUAUGAGUUCAAAUUUCAAAACCUUUUUUUUUUCUUUCUGAAAUCAGGACCAGUGUGGAGAACUAGCAAGGAUUGGAGAAACAGAUUUUUGGGCGUCACUUGACCACAGAUUGUUGAUUGCUCAAAUGUGUAGAAUUGGCCAUCUUAAAUGUCAAAAUGAUUUAUCAAUUGGGGUUUUUUUAGAAACGUUUAUGUUUGUCAAUAGAGACAGAAGUCAGAGAACAUAAACCUUUCUCAGCAAAUUGAAAUUCUCAGUGCAUGCUCUGUUCUUCCAUGGCUUUCAAACCUUCUCUGCCACGGUGAAAUGGAUCGAUAGAGAUAGUUUAGGCCGUUCCAUUUGUUUGAUGAAGCAUUCGUUCUAGGGAUUCUGUAUAUUCAUAACAAAAUCACUAGAAUGAUUCUUAGAAAUUCAUCACUGCUAAAGGCAAUGGGUUCAGCAUAAUAACUUCUUAGUCUUGCUUCUUGGUCCUUUAUUUUCUUUGCAUAAUACUCCAAGUUUACCUGGGUUCUACAGAGAAAAUCUCGUAGAUACCUCUUUUUGUGGUCUUCCAUGGCAUUUAAGUGCUGCUUUCCAUGGUGAAGUGGGCCUAUAGAGACUACCUGAGGUGUGUAGGCUUUGUCAUUUCCACGCCGUAAUCGCUCAGGAACUCUGUAGAUACACCUUCAAGGGGGACAAGGGAGACAAACUAUCCAAUUCCUUGCGCCUUACAAAUAGAUCGCAUGGGUUUUCUAUUUCAUCUGCAGCUUCAUCAAUUCCUUCCAUUUUUCUCCUGAUCAUCAUGCGCGGUGAUUCAAAUAUUUCAUAAUGAACAUUGAAAUGAGAUGCUACAAGCAAACUUAUGAAAAGAAACAGAAAUACCAAAAAGACAAAUCAAUGUAGAUGGUUUAGAAAAUCUAAACAUUGCAAUUAUACUCCUUUGCCCAACUUCUAGGAGCAAACGUACACAAAGACCUUAUUGCUUCCAACUUUUCCAACAGAAUUUCAUAUGAAUUGCUCCAAGUGAAAUCCGUAUGAAAAAUCGGUAGUUGGAUUUUCAUCCUGCUUUAAUAUGAUUAUUUAACUUCUAACAAAAAAACUCUUAUUACUUGAGCAAGUAAAAUACUAUUCCAGGUUUCUCCUAGUUCUAUAUGCGCUUAUAAUUGGUAUACUCUAUAAAUACCAUAAUCUGAAUUUCUCUGUUUUGAUUACUUUAAUUUAUUACUUAUGUUUUAAUUAUUGUUUACUUAGUGAAUUAUUAGUAUUUAAGAGAAGGCCUUCCAUCGAUUAGGCACCACGUGUCUAUAAUAAGUAAAGCCGUCCGGCUAUACUUAAAAAAAAAAAAAAUUGUAGUAUAGCCGACCGGUAUAGCCGCGCGGCUAUACUAUUUAAUACAUUAUAUUUAAACGGUAUAGCCGCGCGGCUAUACUAUUUAAUAAAAUAAAAAACAAAAGAAAAAGAAAAAUUACCCUCCUAUUUCAUUAGUUUGUACUUUAUAGAUACUAGCCCCUUGACACAUGCUCACGCAUGUGCCAAUUGGUUUUCUUUUUCUUUUUUAUUUUUAUUUUUAGAAUUAAGAAAAAAUAACAGGAUAGUUAUGUUCCAUAAAAGUAGGACCUAUUAUCUUAUUUUGUUUUUAAUUUUAAUUUUUUUAAUAUUAAAAAAAUAUGAAUUUACGAUAUUAUCCUCAUUUAAUUAAUAAUUUCAAUUCUUAAUGUUUGAAUUAACAAAGGGCAUUUUCUGGUAUUUUGAAUGUUUCACCAUUCUCUGCCUUUUGCUUUAUAUAUAUAGAUUAAUUUGCCAGUUUCAAGAUAUCCAAAGUACAUAUUAGACUUUCACUAUAUAAAUUUCAAUAUAUAUUUUUUAUAACAUGUGUUGUUCUUAUUCAAUAAUAUGUGAGAAUUAUUUGUAUAAUACGUGAAUUUUGUGUGUCUUACUGAAUUUUUUUAAAUACGUGUAUUAAACGUUACAAAUACGUACAUAUAUGUACAACACGACUAUUGUAAGUUUGCUAUAUAAAAAAAAGUGAGAUGUAUCUAGAACACGAAUGUAUUAUCGAAAAAUAUAUAUGUAUGUAUAUAUAUAUAUAUAUAUGUAAAAGCCUAUAGCCUCUCACCUAUACUAUUUAUUAAAGACAAUUUAAAAAUUACAACAACAAAAAAACCAGUACAGCCACAAAGCUAUACUAUUUUAAAAAAAAAAAAUAGAAAAAAUAUCAAGUACUACACAGGGCAAAGGCCCAGUGUAAAAUAGUAUAGCCGUACGGCUAUACGUUUUUAAGAAGAAUUUAAAAAACUAAGUAUAGCUCACCGACUAUACUAUUUUUUAAUAUAAAAAAACAACCCCAUCCAUUAGGCGCCACGUGUCAACAGAAGUUUAUUUUUAAAAAAAAAAAUUAAAAGACAAGGAGUAUAGCCGGGUGGUUGUACUAUUUUUUUAUUUUAAAAAGAAGACAGUCCAUCGAUUAGGCGCCACGUGUCCAUAAUAAGUACAGCCGCUCGGCUAUAUGUUGGAUAUUUUGAAACUAGCAAAUUAAUAUCAAUAGCCGGUCGUAACCUAUGCUGUCCACGUCACUCAUGUUUUACCAGAGUUAAAGCAUCCACAAUGAGCUCCCCAAACCAUCUCUUUAGACAAAUUUUAGGGAGAAAUUGGAAAAGUACAACUCCAACCAUGCUCCCUAUCCACCAACUAAAAUAGGGAGACCUCUAGGAGCUCCUAAAUCUGAGGAGAGGGAAAGGACUCUUAGUGACUCCCUAUAAUUUAAUGUUGCUUUGUUUUAUGCAUAUUUUAAACUUUUAAUUAAAUCAAAUUAUUAUUUUAUAUUAUUUUGUAUACAGAUGGACCAAUUAUAUUAAAUUAAAAAAUAAUUAAAGUAUUUGUGACUCUCUAAACUAAGGAGUAUGAUUAGAGUUCAAAUUUUAUAAAAAGCUCUUAAAAUAGCUUUUGUGUGUUUUUAGCUAAAUUUUAACUAAAAAAUUUGAAGAUUCUUUAUUUGGGUUUCUUUCAAGACGAAAACCAUAUCCACAACAGACAUCUUUGGCUGUUCAUCACAAUUGAGAGACAAUGAAGAAGACAUAAGGGAGAGGCUGCCAAAUACUUAUCACCUUAGCCACCACCAACACCACAAGACCAAUAUGUGUAGGCCAGGAGGCUUUCCAAUUUUAAUAUAUAUAUAUAUAUAUAUUAAAAAAUAAAAUAAAAAUCAAUCUAUUAUCAUAUAUAUUAUAAAAUAAAGAUUAUUGCUCCAUCCUCCAUGCACUUGCGUGCCCUCUUACAAAGUAUGAAGUAGAUUUUGUUAGCUGGAUUUAUAAGAUCUUUUGUUUUUUGGAAAUUUUCUGAAAUAAGGAAAAUCAAGUAAAAUUAAUAAAGCAUAAAUUGGAAAGGGAAAAUAUCUAGAGGAUGCAUUGUAGGAUUGCUCAAGCCAAUAAUUGUACCCUCUAAAUAUAUAGGGACAUAUUUUUUUUGUUUUCAUGACAUGUCGUCCUAAAAUUAUUGUUCUUAGCGGGCUCUCCACCCCCUCUCGAUUGAAAACCUAUUGUGUAAAUCUUCAAUCCUGAAUUAGAAAAGUACAACUCCAACCAUGCUCCCUAUCCAUCUCCUAAAAUAGGGAUACCUCUAGGAGCUCCUAAAUCUGAGGCGAGAGAAAGGACUCUUAGUGUCUCUUUAUAAUUUAAUGUUGCUUUGUUUUAUGCAUAUUUAAACUUUUAAUUAAAUCAAAUUAUUUUUUUAUAUUAUUUUGUAUACAAAUGGACCAAUUAUAUUGAAUUAAAAAUAAAUUAAAGUAUUUAUGACUCUCUAAACUAGGGAGUAUGAUUGGAGUUCAAAUUUUAUAAAGAGCUCCUAAAAUAGCUUGUGUGUGUAGGGGUCUUUUUCUUCUGGCAACUACAGAUGGGUUGGGCUACCGUAAGGAGCAAACUGAAGAAAAUAUCCCCUGUGUCUGAGUUCAAAGAUUCGGCCCCAAAAUAUUUCGAAAAGGCAGUAAAGCCUUAGGAAACACCUUAGUUACCUUCACCAACGAAAAUGACGGCUGCUUACAGGUAGAUUCUUAGUGCUUACAGAUGAAUUCUUAGCUUAGCAUGAGGAGAUCGUGGCAUGGAAGCAAAGUUAGCAUGAGUUUAGCACUAAAGAGAAAAUUAUGUGUUCUUGGGAGGAAGAAGGGGUGUCCAGGUAAAUGGGAAAAGGUUUUGCAAGUAGAUUUGGCUAAGAGAGAAGGGAGAGAGAGAAGAGGGUGGCUAGAGUGCUUCUUCCGGCAGCUUGACAGUGACUCUGUCAAAUGUUAGAGCAAUCUGCCAUAAGAGGGAAAAUGGGGAAGAAGGAUGAACAGUGCACAAAAUUGCUAGGUUUUUGCAAGUAAGAGAGGAAGCUUGCUCUCUGGAUGUGGAUGAUCCGUUGGGUAGAAGAGGCCCCAUUUUAUAGCCGCUGGAAACUAUCAUUUCUCAAGAAACCCUAAUAGUUUCUACCCAAUUUGGUCAAGCUUUUCCCUUCCUUUCUCAUCUCCUCCCUUGACUUUUCCUAUCUUGGUGAAAUUUCCUCUGUCUAUUUGCACAAAAUCAGGAGCUCAAGGCCUCCCUUUCCCGCAACUGUUCAAUGGGAGACUCCAUUCUUAGCUAUUUUUCUUCUUCUUUCCUUCCUCCUUCCCUGACCAAAUCUGAUGAAGGAAAGCAAAUAGGUGCACACAUUGGUUUGAAGGGUGCUUCUCCUUCUAGCAGCUUACAUGCCAAUAUCCCUUGGGUCCUUGCAUGUUUUUUGCUUUGAAACUUGUUUCUUCCUUCCCGUCAACUCACGUGGUCUUCCAUGCUUCUUCAUGGCUUUAUCUUUCAGCCAAAAGAUGGAGUUUUUACUGCUUGCUACUUUUAAUUGUAUGGGUCUUCUAGGAUAGGAAGUCAACCUACCAAACAAAUGGGCCACCUUUAUCAAAUAUUGGGCUGUUGGGGUUAGUUUUAGUGGGCCAUUUUGACUGGGCUUUUUGGUUGGGUUAUUUAAGUUAUUUUCCCUUUUGUGCUCACCCAUGUAUUUAGGCCUAAGAAAUGGGCUUGGGCUCCGAGUCUCCCAAGCAACCCGGAACCUCCAUUUCUUGGCCCAUUAAUGGGCCUCAUGACAACCUAUUACCAUCCAUACCACAACCCACUCAAGCAAGCCCCGGGCAUUUGAAUGGCUUUGGCCCACUUUAGGCUUGUAGUGUGAUUGGGUGUGGCAUAACGAUUUCUCGCUUGGCAUGGCAUGUUGCUUGGCAUGUUUUUUCAUUACGAUGCUUGAUGGAUUUGUAGAGCUACCUAUUUUUAUGAUCUUAAUCUUGAUUCCUAGCAUGACAAAUUUAUUUAUUUGGCAUGGCAUGCGGAGCGUGACUUGUGCGUGGCGAGUUUUGUAUGCUCCAACUUGGGCCUUUCCUAAAUAAUGUAUCAUUUUGGGUUAUGAAUUCUUUCGGGCCCAACCGUGAAUUUUUUGGGUUUCAACAGUGUGUUUUUAGCUAAAUUUUAACUAAAAAAUAGGGAGCAUGAUUGUAGAUCAUCUUAUAUACCUUAAUUUGAAGAUUCUUUAUUUGGGUUUCUUUCAAGAUGAAAACCAUAUCCACAACUGGCAGACAUCUUUGGCUGUUCAUCACAAUUGAGAGACAAUGAAGAAGACAUAAGGGAGAGGCCGCCAAAUACUUAUCACCUCAGCCACCACCAACACCACAAGACCAAUAUGUGUAGGCCAGGGGGCUUUCCAAUUUUAAUAUAUAUAUAUGGAGUGAAAAAAAUAAAAUAAAGAUUAUUGCUCAUCCUCCAUGCACUUGCAUGCCCUCUUACAAAGUGUGAAGAAGAUUUUGUGUGCUUCAAGUCAUUGACUAGAGCUGAAACAUGGUUAGCUGGAUUUAUAAGAUCUUUUGUUUUCUGGGAAUUUUCAGAACCAAGGAAAAUCAAGUAAAAUUAAUAAAGCAAAAUGGAAAGGGAAAAGAUCUAGAGGAUGCAUUGUAGGAUUGCUCAUGCCAAUAAUUGUACCCUCUAAAUAUAUAGGGACAUAUUUUUUUUGUUUUCAUGACAUGUUGUCCUAAAAUAUUUGUUCCUAGCGGGCUCUCCACCCCCUCUCGAUUGAAAACCUAUUGUGUAAAUCUUCAAUCCUGAACGAUGCUCCUAAAACUCAAGUGUCCCAGGCCAAUUAUUGCUCUCAUACCACUUGUUGCAAUACACAUCCACUCAUUCUCAGGGAAAGAAACCCAUCGAUAUUAUCUCAAAUUUAACCACUUUAGUCUAUUAUGAUUAACUAUGUAUUUUAUGGAUCAAUGCAGUUGUGAGGUUUUAUACCCAAUUAGAUCGACCAAUACAGAGAUCACAUGUGGACUGAAAAGCGCCAUCGGUAGGGGAGUGUUUGGCACCCUUUACUGCCGAGUGCAACACAAGACCCCUUACCAGGAACUUAUCUACUAGGACACGUGAAGCCACCACAAGUAAUAUCAACAGUCCCACAUCGAAGUUUAACAUAACAUGUACACUCCCCAGGACUGAUAAAAGUGGGCACAAGUCCCAAAAAUGGGGGAACUUGGACUUUCAGCAAUUCAUCCAUUAUUAUGUCCAAAUUACUAUACACUCCGUACUUAUUCUUACUUAAGCAUUGGAGAGCCUUCGGCCGGUACCACACCAGUGCCUAAGGGCUUACCGAGCGUUCUCUAUCUUGCAUAUUGAUCGCUCUACUGAAGCCCAUAAAGAGUUAAAGGUCAAGACAUCACUAAGUUGAGCCCAAAAGUGCUGAACCACAUCAAAAAUAUGUAUAGAUUGAAAAAAUAAAAUAAAAAUCAAUCUAUUAUCAUAUAUAUUAUAAAAUAAAUAUUGGAUAAAUUACUCAAAUGGUCCUCAAACUUAUACUCGAUUUACAUUUUGGUCUCUCAAUUAAAUUAUUUGUUCAAAUGGUCCAUCAACUCUAUAUUAUUUCUGCAAAAUCUACAAAGUGGUGGGAGGCAGACCAACAAAAAAAAUUAGCGAAGGCUUAUAACUCUGGUAAAACAAGAGUUACUUGGAUAGAAUAAUGUUACGUCGUACUGAAGAUUUUUGGGUUUCUUUAAUUGGUUAAGUGAAGAUUCUUUAUUUGGGUUUCUUUCAAGAUGAAAGCCAUAUCCACAACCACAACCACAACUGGCAGACAAUCUUUGGCUGUUCAUCACAAUUGGGCGACAAUGAAGAAGACAGAAAUUGGAGUACUGUAUGUUAUCACCCACACCACAAGACCAAUAUAAGGAGGAUGGGGAGGCUGCGGAAUACUUAUCACCUUAGCCACCACCUACACCACAAGACCAAUAUGUUGUAGGCCAGGAGGCUUUCCAAUUUUAAAUUAGAUAAAUCGGAAACUGUUUCGAUAUCCAAUUGUAUUCUAUAAAAUCAAUGAACACGGUGCUUCAAGAAAGUAAUAAAAUUUCAAUAAUUCAAUUGAGUGGUCAAAUUCAAGUGAUUUUUUGUAGUGAUGAUCUUUGAAUGAGUAUCUAUAAAAGAGACGGUUUGGAUUAGUGAAAUACAAUAUGGAGUGGGCCCUACCAGCAAUCCACGACAAAAUGUCUGCAAGCUUUCGUAAUAUAAGGAGGAUGGGGAGGCUGCGCAAUACUUAUCACCUUAGCCACCACCUACACCACAAGACCAAUAUGUUGUAGGCCAGGAGGCUUUCCAAUUUUAAUAUAUAUAUAUAUAUAUAUAUAUAUAUAUAUAUAGGGAUGUGAUUUCUCUACUCCCCUUUUCUCUACUUAUACUCCCUUUUGCUUUUAAAUACUUUUUAAUCAAUUUUUUUUCCGCUUUCCUAUUAAUAUUCUACCAUUUCCCUACAUUAAUUUCUUUUUACUUCACUUUUAUAUUAGUUCUUUUUCUUUAUACUUAAUUUUUCAACUUGCACUCCAUUUUCAUUAUUUUUUUCCUAAUCGAGUAAGAAAUUAAGUUUUUUUUCCCCAUUUAAUACUGAAAAUGGAGUGUAAGUUAGAAAAUUAGGUAUAAAGAAAAAGAAAUAAUAUAAAAGUAAAGUAAAAAAGAAAUUAAUGUAGGGUAAAGGUAGAAUAGAAAAGAGAAUGAACAAAAUUGAUAAAUAAAUAAAAAAGGUUUAAAAAGCAAAAAGGAGUGUAAAUGGAGAAAAGGGGAAUGAGGAAAUCAGCUCCAUAUAUAUAUAGAUUGAAAAAAUUAAAAUUAAAAUCAAUCUAUUAUCAUAUAUAUUAUAAAAUAAAGAUUAUUGCUCCAAGGAAAUGACAUCUUUUGUUUUCUGGGAAUUUUCUGAACCAAGGAAAAUCAAAUAAAAUUAAUAAAGCAUAAAUUGGAAAGGGAAAAGAUCUAAAGGAUGCAUUGUAGGAUUGCUGAUGCCAAUAAUUGUACCCUCAAAUUAUACAUGGACAUAGGGGUGGGCAUUCAAAUAGGCAAACUAGAAAUCCGAGCUGAACCGCACCUAGGAAAACCGGAAAAAAAACCGAGUUGACCAAAAAGUCAACAACUGGUCAAAAAUCGAACCGGACCGAUUUGGACUGGUUUUGGAUUCAGUUUAUAUGCAAUGCUACAUUUUUAGUCUCAUAACUAAUAUUUAUCCAAGUUCAAUUUCAAAACAUCUUUCUUUUUUAGCUUUAAUAUUUAUUUUUAUAUGAAAUUAAAUAAUUUAUUAAUUUUCAAGUAAAUAAAAUAAAAUUUCAGUUGAAAUUUAUAUUAAAAAAAUAAUUUUAAUAAUCCAGUUCAAAACCAAACCGGACCAUCCAGCUGUGAGGUACAUUUCUCCCACAUGCCACAAUUGUAUAUUCACAAUUACGUCUGAUACAUCACAUCAUGCCACUUGCCUCAAAUGAAUUUAAGUGAGUGUGGCAGUGGAAAGUAAUUAAGCUCUAUAUUGGUGGGUGGACUGUUACUUCUGGGUUCCCCUCAUCAUUCGUCUAUAAAAUGGUGAAGGCAGUUGCUAUUGUUACCAUAAGAGCCAGCUCCGACUUCCUUUAAUUUCUUGCUUCAUAUCCACUAGCUACAUCUGUUACCAAGUUAAUUUCAGUCCUAAUGGGGUUUCAUCUCCCACUCAUCUUUGCUCUUCUCAGUGUAAGCUCUGCAAUUUGAUUAACUUUUCCAUUCUCUCUCAUUGUACUCUAUAUAAACGAAAGUUUUGUGUUCCUAUAAUUCUCUCCGAUUUUAUUUAGUACGUACUUAAGUGUCGUCCACUAAUUAAUUACACUUUGUGAUUUGAUUUUAAUUUGAGUUCGAAUUAAUGUUGCAGCUAGCAGCAGUGGCACUGGCAAACCAUGCUGCUCAACCAGCACCUCAACUUUACUGGAACUCCGUCCUGCCAAACACACAGAUGCCAAGAUCUAUCAGUGAACUUCUGCAUCCUGGUUUGUGUUGAGCUCUUUAGAAUCUUAGAUAUCUCUUCUACCUGCCAUUUUACUAAAAUAUGUUCCACCACAUAUUUAUCAGUUAACCACUGUUAUUACAUGAGUGACACAUAUUCACAAAUCGGCUGAUCACUUAUUUUCCAUUAUGACGUUGAUAUAUAAUUUGCAGACUCCACAAAUGAAGAAAAGAGCACAAAUGACGUUGGCAAACCUGAAACUUUCCCAUUGGGCAAUAAACAUUACUCCAGUCAAAAACAUUAUGGAAGAGGCAAACCUGAAACUUUCCCAUUGGGCAAUAAACAUUACUCCAGUCAAAGACAUUAUGGAAGAGGCAAACCUGAAACUUUCCCAUUGGGCAAUAAACAUUACUCCAGUCAAAGACAUUAUGGAAGAGGCAAACCUGAAACUUUCCCAUUGGGCAAUAAACAUUACUCCAGUCAAAAACAUUAUGGAAGAGGCAAACCUGAAACUUUCCCAUUGGGCAAUCAGCAUUACUCCAGUCAAAAAAAGUAUGGAAGAGGUGCUUCUCCAUCCGACAAUCAACCACCAAUUCCAUAGAAAUUCAAACACGGCUACUUUCUUGCCACGAGAAAGCGCUCAAUCGAUCCCCUUCUCCUCUAACAAACUACCAGAAAUUUUCAACCAUUUUUCAGUGAAGCCAACAUCUGAGGAAGCCAAAACAAUUAAGCAAACAAUCGAAGAGUGUGAAGCUCCAGACCUUAAGGGAGAGGAAAUAUAUUGCGCCACAUCUUUAGAAUCAAUGGUUGAUUUUAGCACUUCGAAGCUUGGAACAAGAAACGUUGAAGCAAUCUCGACGGAGGUAUUGGAAAAAGGAGCCACCAUGUCCAUCCAAAACUAUACAACAAUGCCGGGACUGAAGAAGUUGGCAGGUGACAAAGUCGUUGUGUGUCAUAAGCAGAACUAUCCCUAUGCUGUGUUUUUCUGCCAUGCAAUAAAACAUACAGCAGCUUAUGCUCUCUCCCUGAAAGGCGAUGAUGGGGAGAAGGUUAAAGCAGUAACCAUCUGCCAUCUAGACACAUCAGAAUGGGACCCAGAGCAUAUGUCCUUCAAAAUCGUCAACGUUAAGCCCGGAACCAUUCCCAUCUGCCAUUUCAUUUCCACUGAUGCUAUUGCCUGGGUUCCGAACCACAAAUCUGCAUGAUCAUCACUUAGCACUAGUACUGUGCGUAUAAUAUGCCUGUAUAAUUAUCUCCCUACUUAUUUCUGCCUGUUCAUCAUGUGGUGUAAGAUAUAUGUUGAGAUGAAGUUUUUGGGAUUAGUGGUCGAAAUUAACCCGAUCAUGUUUUCUCUUGUAACUAUAUAGACUUCAACUUGUACUCAUAAUAAAGCAUGCUAUAUUUAUGAAGAGAUAUUAAUCUUCAGGCAAAUAGAUAUUAUGAAAACAUAUAUAGCAAUUUAUCCAGAAGAAAUAUUAUGAAAUGAAAAGAAUAAAAAGUAAAAAAACAGAAGGAAAGGAAUUCGCACCUGCUAUGUAUGAAAGGACCAAGAUUGUUUUCCCUUUGGUUAAUGACUAGAAAAGCUCACUUGCAGAUUGCUUUCUCUGACCGUAGAUGCAACAGAAAUUUUCUCUUAAUAAUAGCACAAUGAUCGGGUAAUUGUAAGAACAAGUUGAUUUAAAAUUCCUUGACCCAAAAAAAAAAAAAAAAUCAUUUCAAAUUCAGGUCAACCCAUAGAUUUCUUGCCUUUUUCUUCUUCAUCACGUUGGGCUUGUCUUCUUCUUGAGGAUUGUAUAGGCCCAGGAAAUGCUUUGAGGUAGUUUUUGGCCUUGGAAGUUGGGACCCAACCCAACUUCACAAAAAGAAAACAGAUUUGCCAAAAAUCAAAUUUCAAGUCUCUCCUCAGAUCACUAAUACAGAUCAAAUUUUGGAUUUGAUGAACUAAAGUGGUUUUACUUUCUCUGUCAGUGUUUGAUGACUUAAUUUGUUAUUUACUUCUUUUUUU